GUUUCCUUAUGUGAUAAUUGAUUAAUUAUUUUGAUUAAAUUGGUAAAUUGUUUUGCAAGAAAUCAUUAAAUAAAUCAAAUAUGGAUAAUUAUGUGAUUAAAUGUUAAUUUAGAUUAUUUGUUAUUUGAUCCUUAUGUUAUGAAAUGUUUCAUAUUUUCCCCUUUAGGUUUUAUAGUUUAAAUUUGAACCCAAAAGUUUUGUUGUUUUGAAAUUUAAAUAGUUGAAACCCUAAUGUUUUGAAAAGGUUUCAAAACUUGCCCUCAAGUUUUGGAAUUUAAAUUUUGAUUAAAAGUUUAAUUUUGAUGUAUAUUUAAAUUCUAAACCCUAAUGUUUUGAAAUGUUUCAAAACUUGCCCUCAAGUUUUGGAAUUUAAAAGUUGAUUAAAAGUUUAAUUAGGAAUGUUAAAUUCUAAAACCCUAGUAUUGUUUUGAAAAAGUUCAAAUCACACCCUUAUGGUUUUAUUAAUUAAUUAAGGUGUAUAAUUAAAAGAGGUUUAAUAAAUCCAUAAAAGUUUAGGUUUACAAUUUAAUUGAAUUAAAAGUAUAAUUGUUAAAUUAGACCACCUAGUAUUUUGAAAGUAUAAAAUACACCCUAUACUAUAUAUAACAUUAAAAGUCUAACAUUAUAUAUAUGUAUGAGUAAAAGUCAGUCUUACCGUUAGUAGGCCUCAUUCACGAAGCUGGUCUAUAAGGGGUGUUUAAGGAAAUUGCCUAUAAAAUGGCGAUUGAAUGGGUAUCCACUCUUACCCACCGCACUCUUGACUAGUGGAGGGUCGUUAGCCGAACGGGUAGGAUAGGACGAAACCUUCCAUUAUAAGUAUAAUGAAUUAUUAAAGUAACUAAAUGUUUUCAUAAAAUUCCCAAUCUUAGUUACUUAGGCAAAAGUGAAUUGAUGCAAUUCCAUGAAAUUACACUUUGUGCCCUUGCGAAGACGUUAGUGGAGCGUGUGUGGUUUACCGGCACACUAAAUGGUUCUAAGCAAAGGUAGCAAAGGGUGACUCAAUGUUUGUCAUAGUUCGGUGGAGCGUGUGUGGUUUACCGGCACAUCGAAUAGGUGACUGUAACAUGUGAGGGCACCAUGUAAGUUUGCAUGGUUAUUCACACCCGCUUUGUGAUCCUCGGCAUCCCAGUCACAAACAAGAGGGGCAUAUCGAGAUUUAAACAUGCCAUUGAAAGUUCAAUGAAUCUCAAAGGAUCUAGGAGUUUUCAUAGAUUUAAAACUUAAAUUUCUUUUUCGUUUUUCAUGGUGGAAAUUAGUGAAUCGUCAUUCACUUACCUUCAAAUAUUCUGCAAUUAGGGUUACGGCAUCCCUCUCCCGAGUUGUAGAAUAUUGUGUUGGGUCCUAGCCUUAGUAUCUCAUUUGGGUGAUUUACUAAGGACUCAAUCAAUCAACUAACUUGAAUUCGUUUUCUCCCGUUUUGUAGAUGUCAAAGUUCGACAACUAUGGUCUUCCCAAAUCCCGUGGAACAAGCAUUCCACAUGAAGAUGAUAUUCCACGAUUCGAUCGAGGAACAAGAAAUCAUGCUUCACUUCCUCCUCCUCCUCCAAUUAUUCUCCCUAACCCACAAGUUCAAAGGCUUGAAAAGUUCAAGAUCACUCAAGCCCUUUUGGCAAGUAAACAUGAAGAGGGAAAGUCGGUGUGUGCACACGUCCUAGGGAUGAAGUCACACAUUGAUAGGUUAAGAAUGUUGGGAUCCGUUGUCUGUGAGGAUAUGGUUGUUGAUUGGGUUCUUCAGUCACUUCCUAACUCGUAUAGUGAGUUCGUAAGAGAGUACUAUAUGAUGAACUGCGACGUGACCCUUAUAGAUCUCACCUAUAUGCUUAUUGCUGCUGAAUCAGCAAUGGUUUCGUGCAAUAGAAAAGAAAAGUUGAUUGAUGAAUCAUCCUUCAAGACCUCUAUGGAUAUAGACAAUGGCAACGAAAGACAUGCUAUGAUCGAAAAGUUGGAUCAUAAGAGAAUGACAAUGUCUGAAGUAGUUCCAUGUCCUGUUCCAAAAGAGUCAAUUUGCUUUUAUUGCCAAGAGAAGGGGCAUUGGAGACGAAGUUCCCCUAUCUACCUAAGAGAUCUAAGAGAUGGGAGAGUCAAAACGUAUGGCUUCGCUUUAGGUAAAAUCCAUUAACUAACUCUUUUAAGCUCCUAUUCUAGAUUCUUAAUACAUAAUGUGAUGAGAUUACAAUUGAUGUUUUGUAGGAUCGAAGAAAAGAGAGGAAGCUUAAGGGAAGAAAUAGGCAGAAUCUAACCGUGAAGAAAUGGAUUUCGAUCACAUUACUUGAAGAUUAGAUUCUUGAGCUACUAAUUAGAGUUAGAAUUAGAUUUCUAAGAAAUAUGUAUUAGCAUAGUUUUUCAAUGAAUUGCAUUGUAAGGACUAAAUUUUUCCGCAAUAAAAUAAAUUUUGACUUUAUAUUAUUUAUUUAUCCUUGCAAUGGCGUGUAUGAAAAAUUGAUGUUUGAAUGUUUCUAUUAUUAGCAAUAAUGGAUUUGAUUCUUAGUUAUGGAAAUGUCGAAAAUUUACCAAUAAGGAGAGUUUCUCAUCACCCAAGUUUCAAUUGGACAGAAACUUGGAAUCAUGCAACUUGGUUGCACGAUGAAUGAGAAAUUCCUUAUUUGGAAAUUAGAAUAAUUCAUUGACAAAGUGUCAAGUAAAGGACUAGGAGAUCGAGCACACAAAGUUGCGUGUUGAUCAAGUUCACCAUAAGAGUAACAAGAUAUUCGUCAUGGUUUAAGAAAGGUUUAGAAAAUAUGAUUAUACUUACAAGAUUAAGUGUAAUUCGGAAUUGAUUAAAGAGGUUUAAAUCAAUAGUAGAACGAAUAAGAAGAAUCAAGUAGGCAGAAAGAUAAAAGUUUCUCCAUUCUAAGAAGAAGGGAGAGUACCUUUUAUGCUUUAUGAUAGGUCUUAAUGAUUAAGAACCAUAUCUCAAUUGAUCCUCUAAGUGAGUCUUGGUACAAUUGUAUGUUUAAGAAGAGGAAUCAAGAAUUGAAAAAAUGGUUAAAUCAAGAAGUCAAUCAUACUUCAUUCCAAAACAAGUCUUAAAGUUAAGAUUGUGACAUUGAGUGAAAAGUAUUAAGAAGGUUUGUAACAUUCAUCAAAUGUGGAAAGUUGUGAUGUCUUGGAUAAGACAAAGACCAACUAGGACCAAUUUAUGAAGAGUUUUGAUAAAAUCUACACUAACUCUUGAAUAUUUGUUUGUCAAGAAAUGUUUUGACAAGAGAAUCUUAUAUGUCAAGGAGUCAGUGGGAGUCUUAAUGGUCUUGAAAGGUUUCAAGAACAAAUCAAAUAAACCUUAUCGAUCAUCACUAGCACACGAGUUGAGGUUUACAACCUAUCGUGUUGACAUUAUUUUGUUUCUGUGCCGUUCCAAUCGAGUUAAUUAUGCAUGUGAGUCCUAUGAGUUCUCAUUUGAAUGCAUAAAAGGCAAGGACCUUGAUCAAUGGAAAGUACAUUGAUAAGAAAAGGUGAGCUGCUUAACUACUUGGAAGACAUGGUGGGCAGCUGUGCUACCAUAAGGCAAGAAAUCAAGAUUAAGAAAGUUCGGUCCAUAUGAGUUUGAAUUUGUCGUAAACUUUGGUUUUAACAAAUUCACAUGGAUAGGAACACAUACACCGUUUAAAUCUAAGUGUCAUAAGAUUUCCUCCUUCAUGAAAAUGAUUGUGAGGAAAUGCUUUCACUAAGAAAGAUUUUAAGAAGAUAGUGAUUGUAAAAUUGCAUUCUCGAAUUCGAUUAUGGUUACGGUAUCCCUUUCCAUAAUUUGAAUUGUGAGGUUUGGCAAUUAGUCUUAAUUGUUUAGACACACAUAUGAACUAUCGAAGGCAAAGGUGUAUAAGUUCAAGAAGCCUUGAUAAAAGAUUAUCAAAGCACUAAGUAUUAGAAACAUGAACUUAAGAAAUUCAAUAAGCAUUGUUUUUCUGAAAGUUAAGAUGUUUAUGAAUACAUGUCGAAGCUAGUGGGAGCAUAAGUGUUAUGUUUUAUAAUAAUCAUCAUGAUAGUGGGAGCAUAAAUGUUAUGAUUGUAUGAUUAUUAAGGCACGUAUUGCAAGUUGGCAAUAUUAAUUAUAGAAAACAAGAGUUAUACCUUGCAAAGUCGUAAGGGUUGUAAAGUUGUUUUGCUAUAAUUAAGGGAGAGAAUAUUAUGCUUCAUUUCAAAUCUAAAGGAUUAGGUUGAGAAAUGUUAAUAAAUUUAGUCAAGGGUACAUAGUGUGUUCUUAAAAUUUCGAUUAUGAUUACGACAUUCCUCUUCACAAUUCGAAUUUUGAGAACAUAGCAAAUAAAACAUUAUGCGUCGUGUCCCAUACGCUUCGGGUAUAGGAUCGAUUGCAAAUGCUUUAAUGUUUGACCAUUCUAAAAUUUUCCAAAUGUCGAGCGCAUUUAGAGGGAAAAGGGACUAGAAUUGGUUUUGACUAAAAUAAUUAAACAACUAUCAAAGGACAAUCCAAAGUUCGACGAGGAUUGGUCGCUUGUGAGUAGUUGGAAGCAUGGUAUUGGAAAAUAUGGAAAUGUUUCCAUAUUGGAUGGACCAUAUCGACAUCAUUACGAAUAGAUAAGAUUCUAUUAAGAAUGAGUUGUCAUAUGGAACAUAUGGAAGUGUGUCCAUAUUGGGAAUUGAAUAUUGAGAAAUCUAUGACUAGAUUAGAAACUUCUAUGCAAAAGGAUGUUCAAAGAAUGUACUUUGAGUGAGAGACAUCACGUCUAUGGAAUUGUCUUGUAACAAUCUCCGAUAGAGGACUUUGUAAUAUCAUUGGCAAUAGUCUUUGUGACUUUGGUGCAGUGACAUUACGAAAGGAUAGUUGCAUAGAAUGUUAGAAUCUAGCAUAUUCUAUAAGUAGCAAGAAUUUGAUAUUCUUUGACUUAUGAAAAACGGAUUUGGAGUUGUGAAAUGAGAAGGAUUGGAAAUGUGUUCAAUGUGAUCUAUUUCACAAAGUAAGAACCAUAGGUAAACAUUGUGUGCAUGCUAGGAGCAUGGGACAAGUGUUGGAAUUCAAGUAAGAAGUUGAUUACCCGAAACGACAAAUAAUGAGUAAUCAAUAUGGUGAUAAAUAAAAGGUGUUUUAUUUAUACUCAAAGGUUUGAGGCCAUAUGGGAUUAGUAUUAUUCUUGUGUUUCACAUUUGCAUGUUUUGACUUCCAGAAUAAUUGAGUUUAUUAAGAAUAAUCGAAUUAUUCAAACGGGCCACAGUCGUUCAUAUGUUGGAAGUAGAUAUGAAUGAAGACUGUCGUGAAUUGGUGUGUGGAUUGUCUAAAAGAGUAUUAGACAUAAGCAAAUGUUUGCUGCAACGUUCAUGAGUGCUUAUGAAUGUGAUUUGAGCAUUGGAUUAAACCCACGCUCACUUGGAUCACUCCAUGAAUUGUAUCACGAGUGAUUGGUGAGACGAUAACAUCUUAUAUUCUUGAAACCGAGAUGUGUGAGUUGUAUCUUGCAAAUCGGUUGCACAUUGAUAAUAUGUAAACGCACUAGUAACUUGGUGUUAUAAAACAUAUUGUUGUGUGUGAUUCGGUGAGUGAGUGCAAGCAAGCAUUGUAUCAAAGUUUAUCCGUUCCUUUUAUCCAAAGUAGGAUAAAAGCGAUAUCUUUGGGCCCCUCGAUGAUUUAAUGAUGACAAACGUAAAUGCUCGGCCGGGCUAGGGCUAAUUUGAUUUGUUCAAUUAGUCAGUCGUCAUAAAUUGGGAAAUCGAGAUAUAGUACAAAGAGAAUGCUUUGAAAUCAUAUCUCAUAUGAUAUCUAGAAUGGAGGAAUAUAUGAUCCCUUAUCUAAGGACACACGUAUCUGAUAAGAUCAGAGUUGAAAACGGCUUUAGAAAGCUAUGAUUGCAGAUUGGGAUCUGAAGUCAUACGCAGAAUAGUUAUUAGACUUAUCCAAGUGGGAGACUGUUGGAUUAGUGUCUAAGUCCAUAACUAUUUUGGUAUGUACUUGAUCCGAUGGUCCAUGGUCCUUUUGGGUUGCCUUCACCAAAGCAACUUGAUAGGAUGAAUUAUAGAGAGAAAGGAUUAAAUAUGAUUUAUUAAUAUAUUAUGGGAAUAAUAUAUUAAAGGAGAAAUCAUAUUGAUUAAUUAAUAUUUGUCAAGAAUUAAUAUUAAUUAAGUUUGUGACUAAAAGAUAUUAAUUAAACUUAAGGGACUAGAAUUGUAAUUAUAAGAUAAUUGCAAUUUGGGCUAUGGAUUGCCUUAUAUUAAGGAGUGGACGAAAUUCUAUGGGAAAACCCAUUAGAAAUCGUCCAAGGCCUUUAAGGAAAGGAGUCCAUGGGUUGCUUAGGGCUUAAGCAUCCAAAUUAGGGUUUCCUUGUUAGAUAACCCUAAUAGCCUCACUAUAUAUAGAGUCCUUAUGCCUCAAAAACGUAGACAUGACUUCUUCUAGGGUUUGUAGAUGUUUUUCGGCAGCCUCCUUUACCUCUCCUCUUCAUCCUCUUACUCUUGGUGUUUGUGAACCAUUAGAGGAGUGACAUUUGUGACUCUAAGCUUUCUAAAGUCAUUACAAGGAGGAUUUGAGAUUGUUAUUGCUAUAUAACAAUCAAGGUAUGAUCUAAACCCUAAUUAUAUGUUAUAUUGAUUAUCAUAUGCUAGAUCUAGGGUUUAUAGUCUUGGAUAAAUUGCAUGUACAAUAGAGAAACCUAGAUCCAAGCAUUAGGGUUUGUAUGAGCACAUAGGAUGUUCUUAUGACCAAAACCCAUCANCAAUUAGGAUCUUUGUGCGUGUCUAAGUCUUCACUUGACACCAAGCACUUAUCCGACACUUCCUUCCGAUCCACUUGCUACAGGUGAGUUCAUACCCCUUAAUCAAUGUUUUAACUGUUUUUAAAUGUUUUAUGGGGGGAUACAAGUAGCAUCAUGCUAGUUAUACUCUGACCAAGAGUUUAUACUUUAAAUAAUAAAAUAUUUAAUUAAGUUUACGUGCCUGCAUUCAUACUAAAAUCAGUCUCACUAGGACAGUACAAAAGAAUUACGAAUGUUGGGCAACACAAGUGGACUUAGAGUCAUAUAGUCAAAACUGGGAAGAUAUAGCUUGAUCAAGUAUAUUAUCCGAGGGAUGACUAGCAUGUGCCUAAGUGUAGUUGUGUGGUUGCAACAAGUCUAAAAUCUUGCUAACCCUACCACAAUGAGAACAGUAGAACAUAACAUUAAACUUAAAAUACAAUAGGAGUAUUUGGUGUUACUAUAAGUACUUUAUACUUGAGAACUAAAACGGGAUCUUCAUUACUAAGUUGAUAGUUGCUAAGUGGAUACACUAAGGCUAUAUGUAAUUAGGAUGUUAUAGACUUAGAAUCUGUGAAAAUUUUACUUCACCCGUAUUAGGUGUGAAUAUGAAGUUAAGUUCACUUAUUCGAAGGCCUAUCCUAUUUCGAUUACAUAUAACUGGUAUGCACUUCACAAAUAGCGAUGUAACUGAUGAAGAUUUUCUAAAUAAUUAUCUAGAUAGUUCGUCUAAUAAUUAUUUUCAUACCCCAAUUCUCGCAUAGAUAACAUGGCUGGACUCCAUCCCCACGGCAACCAGUACGUUCCGAAUGAAGUCAUUGUUGGAUGGUUUGAAGAAGAACCAGAGAAUGAUCAUCCAAUCCCUGUGAAUGAUCACCAUGAUGAAGACCUUUCGGAUGAUGCUAACUCCGAACCCGAGGUUGAGAACCUACCCCAGGCAGCUCCUGUUCCAAUUCCUAACCCUCGUCCGGCUUUUCAUGGCCCGACGCCUGAGUGGGUGGAAUGCUUGGAAACAUGGAGACAAGGACAAGAUCAGCCCAUGCCAUUUAAUGGUGACCGAAGCUUCUAUGACCUGAGGAAUGGGGGCUCAGCAGACAGAAUCUUGCCAAUCUUGGUCCGCAGAGUGGCCCAAAAUGAGAUUCAAGGCAGGACAGCCCUACAUCAGAUCACAGAAGUUGUCGUUGAUGCGAGAAUGCAUACCCUCCGCACCAUUCGUCUAGAAAAUGCUCUUGAGAGAUCAGAGAGAAACCAUGAAACCCUACUGCAAGCACUGGCUGAAUCACAAGCUGAAGUCAUAGAACUCCGCGUACGCGAGAGGGUGUACGAAAGACACUUGCUUGAGGUGGAACGUCAACUGGCUGAAAUGAGAGUUCACCAGAGGGAUGACUGUCGCUAGUAGUAGAUGCUUUACUUCCUCUUCCUUGUUUGAAGGAAUCGGUUUUUUUCUGUCUUUGCCCGAUGUGGCAUUUUCUAUGAAGCUAUCUUGUACCGUAAGUACUUUUGGUUAGGUCUCUAUGCUGUCAAGGACUAUCUUCUCUGGUUAUGAUGUAAGACCUUUUACAAGGUCAUUCUCCUGAACUUUUACGUCAUGAAUAUCAAAGAUAUUGACAGUCGGCUAACUUCUGUGUCAUUCUUUAUUCAUGUACUCCUAUCAUACUUUCAAUCAAGUAUAUCUGAAACAUGCUUUAUUCAAGUCAUUGGACUAUAGUAAUUUAACUCCAGAGACAUUUCCAAGUCUCUUUUAGUGGUUGGAUCAUGUUAUUCACCAACCAACGAUACCUCGGCUUGAACGACAAACGUCUUGAGACCAUUCUACAAACUCACCUCAAAUCCAUACUAAGACUGCAUCAUAGGGAUGUAGGUCAAACUUUCGAGAUCAUGCUCUUACUCUUUACUUGAACAAAUCGAAGUACACCUAGGGUAAACCAGAACUGCUCUCAAAAUCCUUAUCUUUCGUGUUACAGAAUCAUGUCGUCAUCCGGAAACAAUCAGCCGAGCAACGAAACCUCUACCUUUCCUAUGGACGCCGCUACCUUUCAAACCGCAGUUACAACUGCCGUGAUGGCUGCUGUGACAGUUGUUUUUGCACACCGUAGCGCUAUCAGCACAAUCAAUACUGAUGAUGGGAUUGAAGAUUCCGAUCGUAUUAUCCAUCCAGGAAGUCAUCAAACGGUGACAGUCACAGACUCGCUAAGCCGAAAAGCAGAGAACAAGAAACGAAAGCGUCAAGCCCAGAAAGAAUGCAAGAAAUCCUAAAGGCUGGCCAUGCAAUAAUAGCAAGUAGAAACACCUGCCAUCCCCGUACCGAGCAGGCCAUACGAGGGAAAACUCCCGAAGUGUGAUAAGUGUAGUUUCCAUCAUCAUGGGGCUUGCCAUGAGAUGCAAUGUUGCAAUUGCCUAAACAUAGGGCACCAUGGUCAUUGAUGUGGAGCACCGGCACGACCCAUCACUCAAGCCCCUGACAUCAGAGUCAACCAGGCUUAUGAUGGUGGUGUUAAAACUAGACCCUAUGAAAGGAAAAUUUCAAGGUGGAGUAAUGAGGAACGCACUCGUGUCUACAUAACACUGGCUAGACACCUCACUUCCACCACUAAUGUUGGUGCUGUCCAGAUAUGUCAACAAUGCGGUGAAAUUGGACACCUCAAGAAGGAUUGCCCGAUAGCGAAGAACUCGGGUGCUGAUGGGAAGAUUUUCAGGAUCACAGCUGCAGGAGAAACUACGUCGGACCCUCAUUAAUGUAAUUUAGGCGUGUUGUUGUAACAGACUUAUAAACUAUCCAAAACUAGUGCAACUAGAGUCCUACCUUUUGUGAGAUCCUGUCUGUAUAGGGAUGCUCGUGCUGCGUAUACUUGUCUUUUGUAGUAUACCUUAUUUCGCAGCAAUAGCCUUGUAGUAAAUCUAAAGUACUGUAACUCUGUUCAUGGUUGCACGGUUGUGUUUUUUCUGUAAUCGUCUUAUGUUCAAAUCUAAUGUCUUUAAGUUUCCGUAUGAUUCCGACAUUAUCAUACAACUAGAUUCAAUUUGAUCCACACCAUACCAGCUUCAUAAGUACAUCUCUUUCUUCAAAAUCGCCUUUCCAGCGAAACCGCCUUAUCAGAACACCGAAGUACUCAAUCCAAAGAUCCAUACGGUUGAUCUAUCACUGAGGAAUUUACACAUAAGGGUAAUAUAUAAUCAAGGUUAUACAGGUUUAGAAUUGAUGAUUCCACUUUAACUUCUUUUUCCUCGAUAGGAUGUGAGCUUAAAGAAGAAUUAGUUAUUCGACUACCUUUUCAAUCUUAAUCAUAUACAACUCAUGUACAAGAGAUUGUGAUUGUGAAACCAUGUAUGAAUUCUAAUAUGAACCUCAAGACGGAGAACUGCCCAAUCCUACGAGUAAUCGCAUCAUUAUGUGAAAAAACUUAGAACCCAAUAUGACUCCUGUAAACAAAUCGCCCUAUAGUCUGAACACCUACGGCGAUACCAGAACAGCCCGGACAACUUAGCAAACUGCACAAAAAAAGAAUUGUAAGACUAGGCUUCUCACCCUGGAGAGCCCUGAUCUUAUUCUUCCAGAGGUCGACGGAUUGCAUCGUAUGUACCUCAGAUAUCGAGGACUCCAUCAAGGUUUUCCAGUAGAAAUCGUUAUCUCUGCCUCGCAUAGAUGAAUAUGUUGAACAAAUGCAAAGAAACAAUUACUUUUAGAAAUGGAUCUGAGAUCUGAAUAUCACCAGUUCAAGUGUUAGAGAAGGAUGUCUGGAAGACUAUCUUCCGAACUCGAUGCGGACACUUCGAGUCCGUAGUGAUACCCUUCGGAUAGGACCAAUACGCCCAUAGUAGUCGUGAGCUAAAUGAGCAGGGUACGUCUUUCUUACUUGGAUCAGUUCGUCAUUUCUCCAUGUAAUGACUUACUUAUCUACCCUCGUGGUAAGAAGGAACCCAUGGAAACAUUACCUUCAGAGGAACUUUCGCGAAGUUCUCCAAGCACAAGUUUUGAAAUUGAAGAGUCAGGUUCCUAUGACACACUGUUAGUGAUGUGGGAAUUUUUUAGUACUCUUUCAAUUUGUCAAAACCGUUGAGAAUUUGUCGACACCAGAGACGCCGACAGACAUUCGUCAAAUUCUAGGUCUGUCAAACCUACUGUCAUAGUUCAUCCAUAACUCCUCGCAAAUCACAGAAACCCGUACGACUUUGACCUAGUAGGGGGUGGCCCUUGACUGGGAAGAUAAACAAGAAAAAGAAACCUUGGAGAUUCCAAGUGAGAGACCAAGUCCUUUAGGAAAACUCACUCUGGGAAUGCUUAAUGCGCUUCGCAACGCGCGGAAAGCUAAAUCCAAGAUAGUCAGGACCUCCGAGUUUCUUGCCAGAAUCGGUCCUGUACCUCACAUACUAAACCUACUCCAUGAACUCAAUAGCGUACAUUUACACUUCGCGUCUCAAUCUUUAAACCGUACCUUUCCGUUAGGACUCUCGUAAGCCCACUCGACGAGAUCGAGAUUAACAAGAUCCUCGCCUUCGUAUUAGAACCGUGUUGACCCUCGACCGAAUGGUCAAGCGGACGAAGCAGCAUCGCCUCCCUAUAGUGAAGGUUCAUUCGGAUACCAACCGAGGACCCGAUCUCAUUUAGGAGCACGAGAAACAAUCGAUUAGGAAGUUUCCCACCUCAUGACUCGAUCAUUCAUUCCUACUUCCUUACCUAAAUUCUAAUUUCGGGACGAAAUUCCCUUUAAUAGGGGGAUGAUGUGACAACUCGAAAUUUUCAUUCGGUCAAACCCUAGCAGUCAAUCACUUCAUAUUAUAAGUCAAGUUCACUUUUACUUGUUUUUGGGAAAAAUAAGUUCAUUUAAUUAUUUUAAUAAUAUUCUUUAAACGAACGGGUGAAAGAAAGUGUCGUCUCGGGUUUUGAAAUUUAAAAACCGCAAACACCUCGUGCCUUAGAAGUUCGCGGCCAAACUUUGAAGUUUGGGUCGAAAAAUCAUCCAAAAAUUGUAAACUCAUGCAUAAACAUGAGUUUACUCCACAAGACUAGUCAUUCUUGAGUUUACUCCCCAAACACCAAAAGAGUAAACUCCAAAAAUAUCCUCUCAAGUAUCAUCCAAGUUUUUAUUCACAAUCUUCAAUCUAGUAAGUGUUUCUAUCCCUUUCAAGUUAGUAUAUCACUUAAUCUAAUGAUUGUACAUCUUUUAAUCCAUCCAUUUUUGUGUUUUGAUUAGUUUUCCAAAAACACCAAGAAUACCAAGAACACACACUAAGUGUUCUUGGACUUUUAGCUCAAUUCAAGCUUCCUUAUGUAAGUACUUUUAUCCUAGAGUCAUUUAAAGCUAGGUAUGCAUGUUUAUACCAAGGAAAAGUGCCAAGAACACCAAGAUAAAGGUGUUUACGGUUUUGGGAGGUCCCAAAACCGUAAACACCAAAAAUAGGGCCAAAAUGGUGUGUUAGGGUGCCUAGAUCUUCACAAUGACUUAGGGACUUGUCUAGAUUCAUUAUUCAUGAGUUUGCCACACAAAAAGCACCAAAAUCAUACAUUUUUAUGUUUUUACGAUUUGGGGAUCUCACAAAACUGUAAACACCACAAAUGUUCUGUAAAUGUCCCAUAAAUGUCCCAUGGUUGUUCCUUAUGUCUAAAUCUAACCUAGACUAGUGUCAUGUUUGAGCUAAGGACUUAAAAACCGCCAAAUACCAAACUUAUGAGUUUAAGGUAGUAAACUCAUGAGUUUAAGGUAGUAAACUCAUGGAGAAAUGGUUCUUAGACCGUAAACUCCAUUUAGGAGUGUUUUGAUGCCACACAACACUUCCUAAGGCUAAAUCAUGAAGUAGGAAUGCUUGGAAUAGCUUAGAAGACUUCAAAACAACAAAUGGUCAAAAGGUUAGGAGUUUACGACCGUAAACUCAAGAGUUUACGACCGUAAACUCAAGGUUUUACGACCGUAAACUCAAGGGGUGUUGGUCCUUAGGGAGUAAACUCAUUUUAAGAGUGUUCCUUGAACUCCAAUCAUACUAGUCGUUCCCUACAACACUUAGAUGCACUCCUGAACACUUAUAACACUUAUACAAAGUGUUUGUCAUGUCCUAGAGUGUCUUGACUUGUUUAUUAGUUGUUUAAACUAAUUCUUUAUAUACAUAUGUCCUCAUAUGUAAUUAGGAUCUUUGUGCGUGUCUAAGUCUUCACUUGACACCAAGCACUUAUCCGACACUUCCUUCCGAUCCACCCACAACAGGUGAGUUCAUACCCCUUAAUCAAUGUUUUAACUGUUUUUAAAUGUUUUAUGGGGGGAUACAAGUAGAAUCAUGCUACUUAUUAUAUCAAUCACAUGUGAUUGAUAAGCAGCAUUCAAAUGAUUGGCUACUCAUUAGCCGUUUUACCAAACAGUUUCCUUCAAAUGAUUUUAUAAACACUUUAUGUGUUUAUAACCCCUUAUUACACUGUACAUUUUACUCUGUAUGUUUCAUUUCAAACUUAUUUACAAUUGUGUUUCAAAUAAAUGUUUAUUUAUACUGAAACUGUUUUAUCAAACCCAUGCCUUCAAACCGUUUUAUAGAUUGACAUCAAGUCGAUCUUUUCUUAGAUAAUAAUUAUGUUAAAAGGUUUUACAAAACUUAUUUUAUGCUUUUAUAUUAUCAAUUGCAUGCCUAUAUAUGUAUAGAUAUAUAAGAAAUGUUUAAAAGACUUAGGAAGGCUAUCCACCCUAUUUCCUUUUCGCGCUUGAGAUGUGGUCUGGUGGGACAUCGGGUAUCCGUCCGAAGGUUGUUUAAAUAUUAGUUAUAUAUCAUAUGUACAUAUAUAGUCAUAAAGGUCCUUCCAGUUCAUCCAAUGCCCUUGGGUAGCAAGGGUAUACAUCCAUGUCCAUACGUACCAGUUAGAUUACUAGUAAGCUACCAUAUGGGUAGUUUAGGAAGAUACUAGAACUAUUACUAGAAUGUGAUAUCAUACAAUGAGUCAGUUCAUUCAUGAGUCAAUACUUGCUAUAUAGAGAGGACAUACAUUACAGCUAGAACAUUACAGUAAAUUACUUUUCUUUCUACAUAGAGAGAACAUACAUUACAGCUACAACAUUACAUUACAUUACUAUUCAUGCUAGAUAGAGAGAGAGAGAGAGAGAGAGAGAGAACACACAUUACAGCUAGCACACGUAGAACAUUUCAGUACAUUACAUAUACAUGAAUACGUUGACAUAAUUGUGAUCCACUAUAUCGGAGCAUGCCUUCAAUGUCAUGGCCCGAGUUGUAGCCAGAGUCUCUUGGAGGGAGAGCGUGAGUUUGCGUAUAGAUCUAUACUGGAUUGACUAUCCUACACCUUGCUGCUAGCUACAGCCAGACCUGCAGGUCUGCGGGUGCCAAACGUCAUACCUUUUUACGACCUACAUUUGUCGUUGUUACCCAGUCGAUAGUAUGGUACAAUUAAUCACAUGAUGCCUUAAUAUAAAUUCGGUUUAAGGUAGUUAGUACAAUAGUAGUUCCUAUAGCACUACACUACAGUACUACAUUAAUUUUCCCUUUACAUAUAUUUAGUGAUCAUUUCACUUAAACAUUAAAUGUAAAAACUAUAUUUUGUUAAUGAUAGUUACACUUGGGAAAAUUACACACUUUUACAAGAAAGCAACAUUUAGAACAGUUAAGUCUUGGUAGAAGACUACAUUUAGAACAGUUAGGUCUUGGUAGAAGACACCCUUAUAUAAUAGUAGGAAUCAUAGGGAUUUCUAGGGUUUUUCAAAUGUUUACAGUUGUUUUACAAAACAUUUUUAUACUUACAGUUCAUAUACAUUUUCAAUACUUACAAUUCAUAUACAUACAAAUACUUACGUACAAAUUAAGACACUAAAAUACUUAUGAUCUCACCAGCUUUAAAGCUGAUACUUGCUUUCAAAAUACUUGUAUCCUUAGGUCAUCAAUAGAAAGGUAUCUAUGCAAGGUUUAGAGAAGAUGGAGCUCGUUCAAGACUCAUCAAUAGUGUUUAUCAUAAUUUGUCAGAACACUUGUAUUAAAAUUAUAUUAUUAAUGCAAUGGAUGAUGUUGUUGCUUCUUUACUACUUUUCAUUGUUGUGAUACUGUACAUGACGUUCUCCGCCCUAGAAUGUUUCCGCCGUUCUUGGUUUUGGGGUGUGACAGAUACUAUCACUUAUGUUUUUAUGAGAUAAUUUGGUUUACUAUGGUUUUAUUUAUAAAUUAAAAAUGAAAAUUUUGGACCGUAAUUUUUGGGAUGUUUCAAGUUUGUAUCAGAGUAUUGGUAUGGGGGAUUCUGAUACACUCUCGGGUGUAUCUGAACUCAAACUGAGGACUUGGUAUAAAAAAUUUUAAAAGAAAAACCAUUUUUAUAAAAAGGAUUUUGAAAAGAGAAAAUGGUGUGGUGCAUGCGAUCAACCGAGCUCAAGUAAGUACUCCUAAAUUACCCAUACAAGUUUAUGACAUGAUACGUUUAUGAGAACUACAUGCCAGAUUAGGACUAAGGAUCGAAAAGGAUGCCUUAUGUGCCUGUUAUAUGAGUAUGAGCUUUACGAACUACAUGCUAGUACUGAUUACUCAGUAAUAUGAUGGCCUGAGUAGGAUAUGCUUGAUUAUGUUUACUCAAUGCUAGAAUGUUGUUUGCUUUGUGCUUUUAGGAGUUCUAGUUAUCUCUAACUAACUAGUAAACAAAUAUGUUAAGUUACAUAUUGCAAGGACUAAAUAAUUUCAGAUGGUUGGGUUUAGUUCUAUUUCGCGGCUCUUGUUUGAGUCCAACCGUUGUAGGGUAGGACCUCUCAUUCGAAGAAUUAUCUAGUCUUAGUGAUAUGAAAUGGUAUUCAUGAGCUAGUUAGGGGGAGAUAAUAGGGACUUCUUAUGAAACUGAUGGUGGAGAGUGGGUCGGUGAUUACCCUAGGGCAAGCCUAGGAUGAGAUUAGCAGAUAGCAGUAGUAGUGAAAGGAACUUGGUGGAGUCAAGGGAAUUCUUGAGGAAAGUACGUAUAGCUGUGGAAGGUAGUAUGGGCCCGUACUACUAAAAGCACACGAUUCGUACUCGAAUCAAGGAAGGAUGAGAUGAACCCAUGGAACUUGUAGCGUGUGAGAUCCCUCGAGUUAUGAUGAGUAUUCUGAUGAUUGUUAUGGUAUAUUUCCGAGUAUGACGACACUAUGUGGUAGACCAGAUGGUAGUUUUGGUGCUAGCGAGGGAUCAGGACCGGACUCUGGAGCCGGGCAGCUCAAUGAUCAAAUGAGGGAGUUCAUUCCAUCUGAGAUUAUGUACAUUAUCACUUAAUAGACUCAUGUGAUCUUCGGCAUGGUCAAGGAUGGCAUUUUGGAGAUUCUUGAUGAGAGGCUGAGUGCAUUCCGCACUGAGAUAACGGCCAUGAUAGGGACGCAGACAGUGAUGUUUCAGGAGUUCAGAGCUUGUGAAACUCCAUAUUAUCAUGGGGCUAGGGACCCCAUUGCUAGCAGCAGAUAGUUAGCAGAUGUCGCCAAUGCUUUACGUACUAUCCAUUGCCCGAAAGGGACAAGGUCCGACUAAUUUCCUGCCUCCUGAAGGAUAGGGCACGUGAUUGAUGGGAAGCGGUUGGUAGUGAGCCAAGUGAUGAUGUGAUUGGUGCUAUGUCAUGGGAUGACUUUUCGACCAGAUUCCGGGUAGAGUUUUCCCAGGUGAUUGAAGUGUAGCAGUUGGUGCAAGAGUUUUUAGGUCUCCGCUAGACUACCGAAACUGUGGCAGUGAUCAUUGUUAAGUCUCUGGAGAGAGCUUAUCUGGUAUCGCAUUAUGCAACAGAUGAGAGAAAUGAAGAUGGUUAGGUAUCAUGACAUAAUGCGAAAUGAUAUCAGGGAGAUCGUGAGUAUCUCGGGGUGCAAGACCCGAAAUGAUAUGACUUCUCGAGCCCGAAAACAGGAUAUUGACUUGGAGCAUCUAUCUUUUGGUCUUCAAGAGUCGAGUGUGGGAUCAUUUCAAGCAUCAGGGGCUAUCAGUUUCGCUGGGAUGCGGGGUGUUAGUUUUGGGGAGCCAAAUGAUAUAAUUUGGGUUUUCGGGGGUUAAAGUUUAAUUUUAGGAUUUAUUUUGUAAAGAUUUUCAGAAGUUAGGGGGUGUUUGGUAAAUAUCAGACCUAAAUUGAAAUGAGUUAGGAAUGCUGAGGGUUGAAUUGCUAAAUGUUGGAUUUAAUUUGAAAGAAAAAAGAGAAGGAGGGAGUGAAAGUGUCAGUAUGGAUAAAUGUUUGAAAUUGGACAGGGCAUAUAACCCCAUCACCCAUGCCAUAACCCUAACUCUAAUAACCCUUCCAACCACCACCUUAAGCUUCCACUCCCUCCAGCCGUCAAUUCCAUCUCGUCUCCAAAAAAACACCUCGUAGCUGCCAUGUCAAACCCGCUGAAGACAAAAUCACAGUCUAGGCGGCCGUCAACAACAUCAAUCCCUCUGGUUGCUACUAAGUUCACUCCUCCGACUGUCCCACUGCCGCCCUAAGCGUCGCUGUUGCCCACCAUUCCAUGCCACUGUCGUCGCCAUGCACCACCAGGUGGGUGGCUGCGUUCAGAUUCCGAGCAAUAGGCGGGUUGGUGUGUGCUUCUUCUAUUGUUGUGUAUACCGUGUGUGCUUUGUUUGGCCGAACAGCACAAGAGGAGCCAUCACCACCACCAUGAGGUGGUGGCUAUUGCCUCCGACCACUGCCUGCCGCCACAAGGGUGGUUGUAUCAUGUGUAACAUUGAAUGUGGUUAUGUGUGGGUGAUUCAUUAUGUAUUAGGCGUGUGUUUUAUGGUAUAAUAUUGUAUGUACAUUGUAUGCAUGGAUUAUUCAAGGAAAACAACCCGUCACCAAAGUUAGGUGGUGGCUACCACCUCACGCCGCCAUUCUACCGCCACUAGCCACCUCCUUGGGUUCCUGUGUGAUUUUGUGUGUGUAAUUGUUAUUUUGGGAUGCUUGGACAUCUUUAGCCAAAAAUCAUAACCUCUAGUGCGAAGUGGUGGCCGCCGUUGUGAGCCGCCGUUGACUAGCAUUACACGAGGCUAUAGUGGGUGAUGCCCGACUUAAUUAACAUUAAUAAACCUAAAAACUUAACCAAUGGAGUAAUUGGCACGUGAUGGGGUUGGAAACCCUAAUUAGGGUUUAAAAAACCCUAAUUUUGAGUAUGUUAAUUUGGAAUUGUCGAGACCCGCACGUUGAACCAUUGGAUUGGAAUUAUGGAUUAAUCCCGACCAUAUUGUAUGGUUGACCUAAUAGAGUGAUGGACUUAAUGGAAUAAGUCCUUAAUGGGUUAAGCGAGAACACUUAACCUUAAUCGUCAUUUUGUGUGAAAAACCUAAAGUAGGGUUGGAUUCUUGUGGGGCCAUUUCUUGGACUAAGUUAUUGUGGGCCUUCGUGGGCCAAUUGGGAACAAAUUUAUGGACUAAGGAAAUUAUUUGUCCUUAGGAUAAGGCCCAUUAGAGAGGCUUGGGCCCAAUUUGGAAAAUUGGGCCAUAGGUGGGCCAUAAUUGGGCCUUGAUGAUUAUGAGAUAUUGGACUAUUGGAACGCCAAGUGUUUGGACUAGAAUAAAUGGUUGGGCCUUAAGGUAGGACCAUGUAGAGGUUUAGGCCCAAUUUGGAAAAUUAGGCCAUAGUUAUAGAUGCACAAAACCCGAAUCCGAUCGGUUUUGCUUACGUCAUAAAAAAUCUGAUCUGGUCAAAAUAUGAUCCGGAUCUUGAUAAAAUCCGAUGCAGUUCCAACCAAAAUCUGAAUCCGAUUCUAAUCCGGUUUAAACCACUUUUAAUGGGUUUUAAGCGGAUUUUGGGGCAGAUUUGGAUCUGAUUUUUAGCAAAUCUGGUUUACGAUCCGGUAUCAAAUCUGAUUUGGAAUAUCGGAUUACGAUCCGAUUGAAAAUCCGGUUUUAAAUCCGAUCCGAUCAAAUUUAGUCAAAACCGGUUUUGAAUAGUGAAACCGGUUUUUGUGUGCAUCUCUAGCCAUAGUUGGGCCUUGGUUGAUUAUUUAAGUUUUGGGCCUUCAAAGUAUGAGUUUGGCCUUAAUCUUUGACCAAGCUAGGUUAGAUGCAAACUGGUCAUUUUACCCCAAGUGGGGAUUUUUGGCUUAUGCAUUGGAAACCCAAAUGGUUAAUUGGGUUUUGUGUUAAUGUUGACAAUUUGGGGAUAUAUCAGCCAACAGCCAGAGAUUUAUUCCCGGGACUUCAGCAGUGCGAGGUGAGUUUUCCUCCAGUUGGAACAGGUCGAAGACAGCAGUGACGGCCUAUUUAUGUAUGUUAGCAUAUACCAGACUAAGGUCUGAUGUUGGGCUAUAUCCAAUGUGGGUUUAUAUGUUUCUAGAUUUUGGUCCGAUGUUGGGGCAAGCCCGAUGAAUGUUUGUAUGUUUUAUGUCUUCGUGAGUCGUGCAUGUGUCUGUUUGUAUGUUUUCGGACUUCGUUCCGAUGUCGAGGCAAGCCUGAGGAAUGUUUAUAUGCUUUCGGAUUUUGGUCUGAUGACGGGCAGGGCCCGAGGAAUGUUUAUAUGUUUAUGUUAUGUGUUUAUGUUCAUAUGUAUUUGUUGAUAUGCUUAUGUAUACCGAGUAUUGCUCGAUUNGUUUGUAUGAUGCCGAAUUUCGGUCUGAUGCCGAGCGGGGCCCAAUGCCGACUUUAGUUCAAUGUCGGGCGGGGCCCGAUGUAGUGGUCUAGGCCCAAGUUUUGUGUUAUGUGUUUAUGUGAUUAUGUGUAUGGUAUGUGGUAGUUUAGGGAGAUUCACUAAGCUUCAUGCUUACAGUUUUAAAUUUUAGUUUCAGGUAUUUCUGCUAGUUAGGGGAAGAGUUCGAGAUGACUGCAUUGCACACACCACAACAUUUAGCCUGUGAUGAUUUACUCUGAUGUUUAGAAAUGUGAUUUUGAUACAUUGUUUUGAGAUGAUGUUUUGAGAUACUAUCACUUAUGUUUUUAUGAGAUAAUUUGGUUUACUAUGGUUUUAUUUAUAAAUUAAAAAUAAAAUUUUUGGACCGUAUUUUUGGGAUGUUUUAUUUUUACAAUAAAAAGUUUUGUUUUAUGGAUUUUUUUAUUCACGUUCUGCAAUUUGCAAUAAUGCUAAUAAAAUAAUUUGACAUUCCAACUUUCUAAUGAAUAAAGUAAAAAAAAUGUGUCUUUAAUUAACAUAUCCAAGUAAUGUGUUUGGAAUUUGGACAUUCUUUUGAUUGUUUUACAAAUUGCAAUUGUAUUGUAGAGAAUAUUUGUUAAUGGCUUGUUUACUUGGUAAUUAUAAGGUAUUUGAACAAAGUUGUUGCUUUUAUAUUAAAUAAAUUCUGGAUGUUAGACAUUGUGGUUAUGUUAAUGAUAUUUAAAGAAACAAUAUACAAGAUACAUGAUUAUUUAUUAUUAAACAUUGAAGGGUUUGAAAGUGAAACAUUUAUACACACUCAUUAAUGACAACAUACUUAUCGUUUUGAAAACCAAAUAAUAUAUAACAUCUUUUAAACCUAUUACAUUGAUAUGGUCAUGUUGGUUUAGUAAAAGUAUACUCACACAAUUUAUGUCCACUUCCUAUUACAAUUUUGUUUACUAAAACUACAAGUACAAACUAAAUGCAAUUGAUAUAUUGUUCCAAGUGAAAUAUGAAAUUCCAUCUUCAAUAGCUCGUGUAGGUUUUUAUAAACCUCUUCCACAUAUGAAAAAGUUUUAUUUAUUAUUUUCUUUCGAUGGCAUGUCUUCAGUAGAUGUAAGAGUUUAUCUCUUCCUUUUCUUUUCAAUUACGAUCUUCUUUUUUAACUUUAAACGUUGCCUGACAUCCACUCAGUAUCUUGGUUUGUCUUGUCCAAAAGUGAUGUAAUUUUAGCGUCAUUUUUUCAUGCAUCAAGUGUAAACGUUUCGUGAUUAGUUCAACACAAAUGUAAGUGCAAUAUAUUAAAACAACAAAUAAAAUAGUUAAUGUCAUUUUAGUUCUUCAAGUAAUUGACAUUGUGACAUUAUGAAUACCAAUUUGUAAAUAUGUUUUGAAUACUAUUAUUAGAAAAAAGUUAAAUUGAUUACAUAGUUUACCUUGCAUUUGAAGUUGACGCCAUUUCAUUUCGAAAGUUGACUACAAAUUUGCUUUUUUAAUUAGGAUGGAUAGUCUUCAAUCGUUUUUAAUUCAGUGAAUCCUUACAAUUUAUUUUUCUCAAUAGUAGGAAAUAGUUAUAAAGAUAACCAUAAUCACACAUUCUAUAUUGGAGCAGUUAUAAGCAGUUUUUUUUUCUAACUAGUGCCUUUAAAUAAUAUCUACAUUUUGAGUGUAAACAUUAUCACUUCCUUUUAUUUACAAUGGAGGAAAUUAUUGAUGACUUGAAACGGGAUUCAUUAUNNNNNNNNNNNNNNNNNNNNNNNNNNNNNNNNNNNNNNNNNNNNNNNNNNNNNNNNNNNNNNNNNAUAUAGUUAUUUACUUCCUUAUCGUUAACUAUGUUGCAAUAUAUUUCCACUUCAUAGGCAAAUAAGUAAAGAAAAUAAAAUAAUAAUAUAUUAGAAACCAGUAUGGUAAGGUAGUGUUUGUUUUUUGUCUGUAGAUCUGCGUGACCUUUUCUGUCUGUGCCGUGCAGACCACGCGCAGACAUUAAACUUCGCAGACUAUUUGUUUUUUUUAAAACUCCAGACCUAAAAAUGUCUGCGCGCCCUCUUCUUGGCGCAGAUGUGGAUCAGAGUCUUCUAACAUCUUCAGACAUCUUCUAGCCUAAAAAAACAUAUAUAUCUUUAUUUUUUUCAAGUUUUUUUUUUUAAUUUAUAUUUUUUGCAACAGUAUUAAUGAUAAACNUUUUUGCAACAUUAUUAAUGAUAAACAAUUUGAAAAAAAUUAAAAAACUUACAAAAAAAAAACAAAAAAAACCUUCGACGAUACAAACAUGAUAUUUUUGAUAAACUUAUAAAUAAAAUUUUAUUACAAUAAUAGUCGUCGAAGUUAUUUAUAAUGAAAAAAAAAUCAUAAUAUAUUUUUAUAUUUUUUUGCAAAAUUUUGUAAAACACUAUUUAAUACAAUAUCGUUAAUUUCUCGAGAAAAUAUUUAUGGUAUGUUUUUAAUGGAUUUAAUUGAAAAAAUCGAAGUUUAUUUCCAUCCAUUUAUGUAUCGAAUUCUUUGAUCAGUAAUUAUAAUGUUUAGUUAUAACUUUGCAACCAAAAUUGUUCGUUUUUAUCAAAUAUAUACGUUAAUUCAUACCAUUUUAUUUUUAUUUUUUAUACAAUAAUACAUAAAAGUUGAUCUAGAUUCGUUAAUUAUUUAUAACAAAAUCAUAAAAACAUUAAAAAAAUCACUUUGCAAUUUAAAAAAAACAGUUUAUUUUAGUAGCCCACAGAUGUUAAAAAAACAAGCAGUCUUUUUUUUUUUUCAGACUACAGACGUUUGGUCCACCUCUUCUACUGCAGAGGUCUACAGAUGUGGUCUGCAGACUGCAGACAUUUUGCCUCAGAAAAAACAAACAACACCUAAGUGUCAUCCUAUCAAUAGAUGAUGUCAUUCAAGAACUGAGGAACGAAAUAUUAAUGGAUUUUCAUCUGAGGAAGAAAGUGCUAAAUGUAUGGGAUAAAAUUAGCAAUAGUUUUGAAGAAUCUUUGUCCCUAACCACAUAGCUUAAGCACUUUCACACGAAGACCAAAUGGUAUCACUGAAGGACAUCUUUGAAGUUGUAGAAAAAAAUACAUACAUGUGUUUGUGUGUUUACUGGAUAUUCUCAAUCUUAUUGAUGAAAGGAACAAAGAAAAAACUGUUUUUGAGGACACUCUUGAAGGAAGGACGGUCUAUCUUUGUUUUGUUAGUUUUACACAGAUUUUGUUUUGUAACAUAAGACGUUCAUGAUGUUAUAAAGUAUAUUUCGGGAUGUUAGAUAAAUGUUUUCAUUAUAACCAUUAUGUGUCUACAAUUAAAGCAUAUACAUAUAAUAGAAUGUGAUAGAUGCUUAUCAAUUGUACAUAUAAACUAUUGUUUACAUACACACCUAGUAUAGAGCAACCACAAUACUUUUAGAUAUUAUAACACCAUGUAAACAUAUUUAUAUAUUUCUAAUAGAAAGAACAAUGUAUUUAUAUGUUUCUAAUCGUAGAAACAUAUUACUUAAUGGAUAAUCAAAAACAAAUCGUCAAAAUGAAACUAAUCGACGCCACUACAACGCACAUGCAUUUUACCAGUAUAUAUAUAUAUAUAUAUAUAUAUANAUAUAUAUAUAUAUAUAUAUAUAAGGGCAUAAAAAAAAACAAGUAUGGGAAAGUGGUCAUAAAAAAGUGUAACUGAAAGUCAGUUAGACUUAACGGAAGGUGGACCAUAUUGAAAAAAUAAAGAACCACAGGACAGAAUUUAUACAAAUUGAAAACUUGGACAAAUUAUAAUAUUUAUUAUACACAGGGAUCAUUUCUAAAACUUAGUAAAAGAUGAUACUAUUAAACAUAUGUUUUAUGUUGUCGCUUUUUUUAUUUGUGAGAAUAUCUUAUAUUUCUUUAAAACAUUAAAAUAAAUACUUCAAAUCAAGAUCAUAUCAUAUUAUGUUAUUCAAAGUCAAAUUUUGGGGCGAAAAGCAUAUAUGAAUAAACAAAUCAACUUAAAUUAAUCUAAUUAUAUUAUUAGUAUUAUUGUAUUACGACAUCAUAAACCAAAAAAACACAAGAAACUUUGAACACAUUUUAUUGCAAUUGCAACUUAAACUCACAUUUAUUGGUUUUGAAAUUACACGUAAUAAUGUAAUAAAAAACAUUCAUAUUUGCUUUGCAACACUGAUUUAGAUGAGUAUUGACCAAUGUUUUAAAACCGGUUUUAACCAGUCGGUCGAACCGGUUGGACCGGGAACCGGAGAAGAAAGAGGUUCAACUAUUACCGGUUUUAUGUCGAUUUCUAACCGGAUUGAACCGGACGGUUUUAGAAAACCCGGUUGAACCGGUUAAAUUGAAUAAAAACACAUGGAAAGAACCAUUUGAAUAAAAACUUUGAUGAUUUUUUUAAAUGUAUUUAGUUUUCUCUAAAUAAAAACAUAUGAUAAAUGUUAUAAAGUUUUUUUUGGAUGUGUUUGUAUUCAUUUAAAACUAUAUUUUGUUUUGGUAUUAUGUUUUUUUUAACGUAUAUGGAUUGAUGUAAAAUACUCAAACUUAUGGUUAUGUAUUAUUUUAAUGUAUUUGGAUUGAUCUACAACUUAUUUGUAUGUAUAUUUCUAAUGUUUGAACUAAUAAACAUCAAAUUCAUAAUUUAUAUAUGUAUAUAUAUGUAUAGGAAAAUAGGAAAAAUGAUGAAAAUUAUAGAAACCGGUUGACCCGGCGGUCGAACCGGUUAAACCGGUUGAACCGGAAAUUGGUAAACAUACCGGUUCAACUAAAAAACCGGUUUUUAAAACAUUGGUAUUGACUGACAUACUCAUACAGAUUAAAGUAUAUAGGAAAUAUGAUAAAAAUUCGAAUAUAAAAAUAAAUAAAUAAAUAAUUAAUUAAAAAAAAUAUACAAGGGAAUUUUGUUUAAAACACUAAUAAAAAGCUAAGAAAUUACAAUAAUAAUUAAUACAUAUGGAACAAAAGGUUAUUUAACCAAAGUAGAAAAUCACAUUUAAAAAGAAUACAUAAUGUUAUUUAACCAACAAAUCUAUUUACUACAGUAUUUCGGAUACCUAUUGUUGACCCGCUGCAACGUACUAUUCUUGGAAAUUAUAUAUUCAAUCUAAUGCCAACAUUAUCACCAAGCAAAGUAACAUCAUCUAUAUGUUUCUUAAUAACAUUCACCAAAAAUCACAAGAGGCAUCUAAACACCAGUUCACCUAUUUGGGUCCAUAUAGGGAACAUACUCACGAUGAUACAGUGCGCAAAUAUAAAGUGCCCCACCGGGCACCUUAUAUUUUUCUGCAUUGUCACUACAAUUGUCGCCAGUACUCCUUAUCAAUUAAUAAACAGUUCCUAUCAGACUCAUGAUGAUAGAGUCUGUCAAACAUGUAUUUGGAAACCAUAUAUCUAAUUCUAAUCCAAGUAUCAUGCAAAAAAGCAGUAUUCCUUAGAUUCCUAAUUCUUUUCAUAAAAACGAGAGGAAUUAUUUUCGUUAAAAACUGUCAUCACUAUUUUGGAUGAGAGCUUGGUAAAAGGCUACUAAGGUACCAAUUCCUGAGCACCGUUAUGAAUGUUGACUAGCAUAGAGUCCCACAUAACCCAAACAAUUUUCCUUUCAUCACUAUCUACACCCCAAAAACAUCGAAGGCAUUAAAACUUCAAGAAAUGUAAGAAUCUUUUUCAUGCGCUUUAGAAUAUAAAUUAUAUCAAGGCCACCUAGAACAAAUUUUUAUAAAAGUAACCUUGGCCACAAUUGAAAACAUCUUUACCUUCCAAUUUGACAAAUUUGCUAUUGUUAGGAAGUAAAGUGGAUAACUAGCCAAACCAAAAGCACACACGACAGAAUAUUUACGUGGUUCGGUCAAGGAGGCCUACGUCCACGGGCAAGAGGGGAGUAUUCUUUAUUUCAGAGCUUUCAACAUAGAGGUUACAAUUACAAUUACACAGAGAUUUGCCUAUCAGUCUAGAUUUAAAGAUACAAAAUGACCUAGCAUGCACCCCUAUUUAUAUACUUGAGAGAUCAGACCUAAAACCCUAAUGGGCCAAGCUCAUUGGCCCAUAGGCCCAUGAAGGGUGUCAACCAAUCACAAUCUGCCAUGCAACAUCUUCUAGAACAUUCUUGAGCAUUAUCCUCUUCUAGGCAUACUUUGAUUAACAUGGCACAACAAAGUAAUCAAUAUGGUGCAUCAUGUACCAAGUAUCGUGCACAACAUUAAUCUUGGAGAAACAACAUCAUCAUGAGCAACAGGCUUAUGCAUGGCUCGACAAGGCCAUGCAUGACUCAACAAGAAAACUAGAUGGCGUAAGAGGAGAACAAGAUGGCACAAGAGCGUCCCUCUUGACCCAUUUCUUCAUCAUGUGUAGCAACAAGGACCCCUUGUUGCUCUGUAUCCCUUCCAAGUGCUCCAAACAUCUUCCAAGUACUCCAAACUCAUUCCAGGUGCUCCAAACCCCCUUGUACACGAUCCAUUCCUUUGGCAUUUGAUCAGUUCCUUUGUUAGAUGAUCCAAUUAUCUGUAAUUAGAGGACCUGUUCCUUUGUCACAUGAUCCAUGAACCCCAAGUGCUCCAUUGAGGCCCAAGUGCUCCAAAUGUUUGAUGAACAUGAUCCAAAUGCUCCAAAUGCUCAAGUCACAUUUAACAGUCUCCACCUUGACUUGAGCAUCCUCUGAACUCCACCUCGAACAAAAAUUCAUCUCCCUUAUCAUUUAUCCCCGAAAGGACCUACCUCCUGCGAACAUUAACGUCCAAGCAAAGCUUGAACUUCUAUGUGGGCAAUGACUUUGUCAACAUAUCUGCUAGGUUGACCUUCGUAUCAAUCUUUAGUAUUGAAAACUUGUCUCCUUCCAUAAUAUGUCAAAUGAAAUUCAUUGUAACAUCAAUGUGCUUUUCCUUCUCAUGAUACACAAGAUUCUUUGCAAUACUCAAAGCACUUUGACUGUCACAAUACAAGACAUGUUUCUCCACCUUCAGACCAAGACUCUGAAUAAGCCCUUGCAACCAUACCUCCUCCUUUAUUCCUUCUGUCAUGGACAUGUACUCGGAUUCAGUUCUAGACAAAGCAACAGUGUCUUGUAACAUUGACUUCCAACUGGUGGCACACCCGAAUAAAGUGAAUAUGUAGCACGUUCAUGACCAGGGCUUCAACAAGUCACCACCAUAACCAGAGUCAGCAUAUCCCACCAAGUCACUCUUCGUAUUUGCUCCAUACAACAGGCAAACAUUCGUCAUUCCCUUCAAGUAUCGCAAGAUCCACUUUACAACUUCCCAAUGAGUCUUCCCAGGAUUACUCAUAAACAUGCUAACCACACUAACUGCAUGAGCCAAAUCAUGUCUGGUACAAACCAUAACAUACAUGAGAUGUAACGCCUGUAGAUCCGGGCUAGUCAAUUUAGAGAUAAUAGGAAUCGAAAAUGACUUUUAAACAAAAGAUUAUUUAGAAUAAAUAAUCUUAACCAUGUUGUAGAAUACGUCUCAAGGGUUCCGUACAUAUAAAGAACGCCGAAAUCCAAGUUAUAACGAAAAAGUUAUGGUCCGUCGAAGUUUUACGGCAAAACCGGCACGACACAGGGAGACGUAAAUAGUAAUUUUAUGAUGGAGUACUUUUUAGCAUUAGAAAUCUAAACAAAAGUUGUAGUAUAUGUUAAACCAAGAACAUACAAAAAAAGAACGCUCAAAUCUGACUUCGUAUGAGGAAGUUAUGAAUUUUCUAAGAUUUGGCUUAGCAAUGCACAACCCGAAACUUGAAUUUUAGUUCGAGCGGUUUUUGGCCUACGCGACCUAAAUGAGAAUUGAAGAUCUCAUUAAUAGGAACUCAACAGUAAAAAGACAGACAAAAAUAGAGUCCGUAUGUAAAACUUAUGAAUUGUUUGCGAACAUUUAAUAGUAUAAUCUCCUCGUACUGUUGAAUUUAAGAUCUGUCGAGAAUUAGUAGACGGAGUAAAAAGGAAAGUUGUAAAUCUUAUUUUCACCUAUGCGUGGAUAUAAAGAACGUUAAAAACGGAGCUCGAAUGUGAAAGUUACGGAUUUUAGAAGUCGGAAGUGUGUUGUGCAAAAAUGGGUGAUGUGGCACAAUCUUAGCCAUUGCUUUCUCCUUAAGUCUUGCCACCAGAUGGUGACAUGUGGCACCAUGUUCAGCCAUAUUUCACCCUAUAAAUAGAAUGUCUCCCACCCUCAUUUUCUUCACACCUUUCCCAUUCUUUCUUCUCUUUACUCUCUCUUUAGAUCNNNNNNNNNCGAAAAGCCUAGGGAACCUCCCUAGAAUGAAACGGAAGCCUCGGAGUGCUCGACGGCUCCGAGAAGAAGAGAUUUUCAGCUUGGGAACGCUGCUCCAAGGAAAUCCUGGAUUUCUAUAAAACCCGCUUUAACUGGGCUACGCCUACGCUAUUUUUAAUAUAGCUUUUAUUAAACUAUAGUAACAUUAUUAGGAACUUAUAAUAAAUACUUGGGCUAUUAUCAUGGGUUAUAUAAAUAUUGUUUAACGCUUUUAUAAUAGUAAUAAUAGCUAGACUAUUAAUUAGUCUCGACGAAUAAUAGACUAAACUCUAGUGGUAAUAAUACUAGGUUUCGUCGAAGGAAAUUAUUUUUAAGAAGCGAAGCACUGUCUGAGUUCAGAAUCACCACCUUUUCAAGUGAGUGCAUGGUCUCUUUCAUCUUACACAUAGAUAUGAAGUAUUUAAUAUAAAUUACGUGUUAUGUGUGCAUAUUGUCUAAAUACUUGUUGUCUAUGCUGGGUGAAAUAUUUUUAUACACGUUUUGAAUGAUUUAAACUGUAUAUGUAUUUUAUAUCUACAAAAUGUGUUGGGUAAAACAUGGGUAGAUGUAAUAGUUGUUGUGUGAAAAAAUAAAAUAAUGAGAGGCCUCGAUAUAGAUGUUAUUGAUGAUCCAGUCAUCUAGCAGAGUAUAGAUGACGACCACGGACUAUUCUAGACAGUCCAGUGGAACGCUAGCAUGCUUGCAACAUGUAGAUGUUUAUUUCAACUGUGUGUUCACCAGCAGUACUCCAUCCCCCACAUGAUUGCCUUAUUUGACAUGAAUUGCUGAGGAACCCCAGAACCAUGUGUUGUCACCCCGAUGGAAGUCCUUAGACUAGGUCCCUUGUGUUAGAUGUUUUAGGGAUGUAAAGUGAGGAUAACGGGAACGGGUAAUCGGGUUUGUUUGGUUUGAUAAAGUUAAUAAACUUAUUUAUUGUGGGUUGAAAACCCUAUGUACUCACCAGGUUUCCCAACCUAGCCCACUCAGUUUAUUUAUAUCAGAGGUGUUGAUAUGAAGUCACAUUACACUGAGAGAUUAAGGAGAUAUAAAUCACUAGUGAUAAUGAAUGUAUGUUUUGGUUAUGCUUAUGUUUAUGUAUUGACGAUGACAUCCCAAAUGUUUUAAAAUGAAUAAAAAUACUUUUCUUCGGAAAUGAUUUGAUAACGUAUUUAUCAUGUUUUACUAGGAACAAAUUCCGCAAUAUUUUUAUUAAAAAGGUACUCUGAUUUUUAUAGAGCAUAAACAAAAUCGGCCUUUUCUGGCUGUGAAAAUGGGGAUGUCACAAUUGGUAUUAGAGCAUUAGUUUAUGUGAACUAGGAAUAUGGAUUUAUUUCUAGACUUAAACUUAGAAUGCUAAGCAAGGAUUGUGAGGAGUGUGUCUAAUAAAAUUUAGGUAAAACACCUGAAUAGACACAAGCACUAGCUAAUUUAGGGAAAAUGCCUAACAUGCAUUUAUGUGCUAAAUGAUUUAUGAUAUGAAUUGUAUGAUCGGACCUAUGGUAUGUUGCCGACUGGAUCUGGAAACUUGAUGUGUUUAGAUUUCUAAACGUUUAAUUACGGUAUUAGAACUGUCAUAUAACUUUUCAGAGAAAUAGGGAGAAUUACAUGUCGAUUGCAAAUAAAAUCUUUCCUAUCUUAAUUCUCGUCAUUGCACACCGAACGUCUGAUUUGGUAUAUUGAUCGAAAUGGCAAGAACCCGUAGUGGAGCCAGGAAUGCAAAUGGGAACAGGAAUCAACCACCAGUGAUUGAACAAAUACAUGUUAUAGUAGAUGCUCCUUAGCCAAUUACAAUGGCCGGAGUACAAGCCAUGAUACGGUAUAUGUUGGCUGAACAACGAGAAGAGAUGAGGCAGAUGUUGCAUGAAAAUGGUGACGAACCUAUAAUGCUAGUUGAACAUCCCGAAUUGAACAAUGGGCAGUCAGAAGGAGGGAACUACAGUGUGACCGUUGGUCAAGCCUACCCACUAACAGUUCGACAAAACAACCAAUAUUGUCACACCCCGGAACCAGACGGUGGAAACGUCUGAGGGCUCGCGUGACUUAAAUUGAAUAUCAUCACAAUGAAUAUACAUGAAUUAUAACAUAAACAUCACCAUGCAUCAAUAUAGUACAACUGACAUUGUUCACAUCAAGUACAUUGUUUUAACAUUAAAAAUCCAUAACAUAAAUUGGUUGAUAGUUUUCAAAAGCACAACACCCUAACAUACUUCGUAUUACUCUUCAGCUUACUUGUUACCUGAGAAUACAAGUUAUUUUGAAAAACGGCCAACAUAAGGAAUGUUGGUGAGUUCCCAAGCAAGGUUUUUACGAAAAUGUUUUGUGUAGUUUAUAAAACCCAGAAAAUCUGAUAUUUUCUGGAAGAAAAAAAAACAAUUGUUUAUUCCAAAGUGUGGAGAUCCAUAAAUCUAUGUAUGAAUGAUUUCAAUGCGUGCAUGAAUAAAAAAUUUUGUAUUAUAGUUAUUGAAAAGUACAAAUGAAUGAUGCUGAUCUCCUCGAAAAACCCGAUGUUUUCCGAUAAUGAAAAAAUAUAUAGUCGUUUCAAAUUGUUAUAUCGUAACAACGAAUGAUUUUGGAUUUUCCCUGAUUAAUUGUGAGUCGUUAUAACCAUAUAUGCUAAUGACUAGUUCGUCAAUCUUGGCAUUCUAACAAACGCCAUAAUUGAUCUUAAGAUUUUGUCACCCUAGACUAGCCGAGUCUAACUAUAGCAAACAGCUGAGGUGUGGAGGACUCACCCCCGUAUAGAUCUAUACACAAACUCUCGCUCUCCCUCCAGGAGACUUUAAUUAUAACUACACACUAUAGACGACCCAUAGAGGUGUCGCCCGCUAUUUCUCACUAAAUCUCACAUGAAUUUGAUUACUAUUGAUUAACGACUUGUAUAUAUUUCUUGAAUUGAAGGUAGGCCUAAUAAACGGGGAGAAGAGGAUUACAAGGUCCUAUUAAUCCCCCGAAUUAUUUGUGGCUAUUGGGUAUACGAAGGACACGUUGGCCCAUUUCACAUUUGAUUUACGUGGACCUUACUAGCAAUGCUAACGGGCCACUAAGGCCCAAUAGCACUUAAAAUCCAUUGAGGGUCCCUUAAAUAAGAAAUUGGGUCAUAUAAGGCCCAAUAACUUUUAUUAUUAUCCCUUGGGCCCAAAAAUCAUGUUAAUGGGUCACAAAGGCCCAACAAGCAUCAUUGGAACUUUCAAACCGAAAUAUUUGAAUAUUUACUUGUUUUAGGUAUAGUUUAAUUGUUGGAAAGUUUGAUUGGGUGAUUGUUAAUUUCGCAUCGGAACAAUGCCGGUCGGUUAUUUUUAACGAUGUUUGGAAUUAUAUGUACUUUCAUCUUUCCAUUUUCAUGAAUUGUAGUUUGGUAUGUUUAUUUUAACUCAAAUAUCUUAAAAAUAAAAUAAUUGACUUAAAAUCUUGGUUUGAACCCCUUUCAGCCCUUCUUGGGUAUAAUUGACAAUUUUAGUCCUUUUUACAAAAAAAAGAGACAUUUUAAGCCCUUAAAACAUUUUCUUGACACUUUCGACCCAAAGACUUGUUCAAGUGAUAUUUUUAGCUCAAAACAUAUUCUUUGGCAGUUUCAGCCCUUCAAGAAAUGUAUUUUUUGGUUAAACCCAAACUUUUUGCAACUUUUACAAUUUUGGCCCAAAAUCCAAAAAGUUUACAAUUUUGAUCCUUAUUUGGAAAUUACAUCAUUUUAACCACUGAAUUUGUUUUAUUCACCCUUUUACCCACUAUUUUGAGAAGUUUCUCACUUCAACCCCUGGAAUAUUCAUAAAAACAUUCAUUUUUACUGUUUUGACUCUUUUAGUCCUUAAGAAAACCGUGAAUGCCAAUCUUUUCCCAAACCUUUGCUUAUUUGACAAAAACAACCCAAUAAUGAGUCUUAUGUCGUAACUUGUUUGUUUUAAAACUUAUAUGGUAGAUUUUCUUAACUACUUAUGUGUAAUACAUCCUAGAUCACAUAUUUUUCCCUCAUGAACUAUGGAUCUCGAAAUAUCUUUCAUUUUUGGCACAUAUUUACCACAUAUACACAAGAAAUCUCACAUAACAUACAAAUACACAUAGAUGUACACAUAUUACUUGUAUUCUCCCCCAUAAGACAUAUGAAAACCGAAAAUAGAGGGGUAUGAACUCACCUUGAGGUUUGGAUUUGGUUUUGAUGAAGAUUUGAGAGAAGAUUUCGGCCUAACAAGCUUCUUUAGGAUUCCUUGAGCUUAGAUUGCUUCUAAGGAGUAUGAUCAUGAAGUUGAAUGAAUUAAAAGAUGAUUUUUGAUGAGGUAUAGAAGUUAAACUUUGGAUUUAUGUAAGAACUUACCAAAUAUUUGUAACUUGAAAUGAAUUUUGAAUAAAAAACUCCUUGGAAUGCUUCUAAUUUUCGAAAAUUUGGAUGAAAAGAAGGAGGGUGUUCUUAUGUGUUUGAGAGAGAUUUUUGAGAGUGUGUGGAUGUGUCUUGAGUUGGUUUCGGCCGAGAGUAGGGGAAGGAGGAAGAAAAAGAGGGAUUUUGCAUAGAUACAUGUGAUUACAUUAUUGUAUGUUGUAUACUAAGCUUGCUUGUCCCCUUAACAAAGGUGAGGUGUCAUCUUCCCCUUAAUUCCUCCACUAAUCUUUUUUUUACUUUGGGUCGAGAGUGAGAGAGAGAGAGAAGAAGUGUUUUGGGCCUUUUGUGCUUAAUUUCUAUAAUAUGACGCCAAAUUUGAUGAUUUUCGGCCCAAUUGGUCCUUGGAGGUGAUUCAUGGCCCAAAUCUAGCAUAAAGGAAUAGAUUGGAGUCCAUUAAAGCUAAUUGGACUUGUUGCGGCCUAAUAAGGCCCAUUAAAGAUUAACUAGUCCAUUUUAGAUCUAUUAUGGCCCAAAAUGUUAACUUUCAUGAAAGUAGUCCAUUUAGAGCCCUUAUAAGAGUUCUAAGCCUAGAAUAGUCAAAUUAGAGACAUAUUGGCCCAUUAGGCCCAAUAAGGAAGUCCUAGUCCAUAAUGGACUUAAACUUGGAUUUCUAGGGUUUCCAAUUCUUUGUUGACUAUUUGAAGUGCUUGUAUAGAGUGUUUGAUGGAAGUUUUGUUGGUAUUGAAUAAGCAUCAUACAUGCUUUCACAUUUUUGGUUCACAAAUGUUAUCAUUGUUGUUGUUACAAACCAUCUGUAACACCCUGUUCUAAAAUAUUCAUUUAUGGAAUUUCAGAGGCCAAGGCCAGGGGCGUUUUAGUCUUUUAUUAAAUUUAGAGGUAUUAUUCAAGAAGUUUUCAGGCCGGAGUGUGUUUUUAGAAGCGUAGGAUUUCUCGCCACCUUUCUGUGGAUAUAAAGUUCAUCAGAAACGGAUCUGAAAUGAAGGAGUUAUGACACUUUGAAGAUGUGGUAAGAAUGGCCCUUAUAGAGAAAAUUUGCAUGAAAGGCCAUGCAUGCAUGUUGGGGCACGCGUGGGUACGCCCAGUUUAAGCUGGGUUACGCCCAGCGUAAUGGGGCAUUUUGGUCGCGGGUGUUCAAGGCGUACGACCAGCGUACGUGGAGGUACGCCCAACAUACACUAAGGAUCAUAAAAGCCUGUUUUUUGGUUAAGCACUAUAUAAAGGACAUUAUGGUUCCAAACCUAGCCCCCAUAUCAGCCUCCCCAACCUUAGAAGAAACCCUAAAACGUCCCUACCUUCUUUUUAUAAGAUCUUGACCUUUGAGAACCCAUUUUGGUGGUUUAAUGCUUGGAAGCAAAGAGAAGAAGGUUGGCAAGGAGGAACCUUGGAAGCUAGAGCUUGUAGAUCUGGGAUAAGUGCUUCCUUUCGGACCUCUGCAAGGUAAAAAGUCUUGAGCUUGAUGAUUAACCUCUUAAAUCUCCUUAGUACAAGUUUAUGGACCCUUUUGGUCCCAAGAUUGGGACUUUAUGACUUAAGCUCGUUUCUAGGACCAGGGUUGCCUCCCUUAAUGUCGUAUGAGUCCCAUAAGCAGUAGAGUUCCAACCUUUAUGGUUCUGUUAAUCCCAUGCAUGAGAUCUAGUCCCCUUUUAUGGAAGUAGAAGAUUAUUUUGGGAGUUUGAGUUGGUUUGGACCAUAUAAAGUCACCAAGUCAUUGACUUUAUGGCUUAAGACAUGGAAUAAGGUUUGGAUCUGAGUUUGUAGCUUCUGAAUCGAGUUAUUAAGCACUUAAAAGAAACUUGACUUAACAAGGUAUUAUGCUGAGCGUACGUGUUGGUAUGCCCAGCGUACUCGGCACCAAGCCUGUACACUAAGCGUACAUUAGAGUACGCCCCACGUAAAGUAGCCAGUGGGGCUUUGUGCAUUUUGGCCCUCGGUGUGGGCUCUGGUUUGGAUUUUGGGCCUUUGAGCCAUAGUGGGCCAUCAGAAGUCAGUUAGAUUAUGGGCCAAGAACAUUCUUUGGGCUUAAGUAGGGCCCCUAUGAGGAGUUAGGCCCAAUUUAGAAAAUUGUGCCAUUAGUGGGCCUUUAGUGGGACAUUGAUGGACUUAGAAGAAUUAAGGGUUAUGGGCCUUGGUUAUGACCUACACCAUAGCAUGGGGGUUAAAAUAGUCAUUUUACCCAUAGAAGGAUCCUUAUUCUGAUUUAGUGUUUUUUAAUUCGUCAUGAUAGCCGGGGAGCAGUCGGAACAUCAGUCAGGGAUUUCUUGCUCAGGCCUUCAAUAGUCAGUUCUUCGAGGUGAGGUUUCCUUCCAGUAGGAACGGGUCUACGACCACAAUGCCGACCCGUCUAGUUAGCAGUAGUUUCCGGACCUCGGUCCGAUGCAGUAGUUAAGUGUGCUUGAUGUCUUUGUGAUUCAAGCAUGUUUUUGUGUUAUGUGUUCCGAACUCCGGUUCGAUACAGUAUGCAGUAUAUGUGAUCAUGCUAGUUGAUAGGUUUAUGCUAUGUUAUGUUCAGUUAGUCCGGGCUUCGGCCCGAUGCAGUUAGCCGGACUUCAGUCCGAUGCAGGGGGCAAGGCCCCAGUUAGUUCGGGCUUCGGCCCGAUGUAGUUAGUCGGACUUCGGUCUGAUGUAGGGGGCAAGGCCCCAGUUAGUCCGGGCUUCGGCCCGAUGCAGUUAGCCGGACUUCAGUCCGAUGCAGGGGGCAAGGCCCCAGUUAGUCCGGGCUUCGGCCCGAUGCAGUUUCCGAACUUCGGUCCGAUGUAGGGGGCAAGGCCCCGGUUAGUCCGAAUUUCGGUCCGAUGUAGUGGGCAAGGCCCAGUAUGUGCUUUAUAUGUUAUUGUAUGGUAUGUGGCAGUUUAUGGAAGCUCAAUAACCUUUGUGCUUACAGUUUUAGUUUUGGUUUCAGGUACUUCCGGUAGCAGAGGAAGAGCUCGGGAUGAUCGCAUGGCACGCACCAUAUUUAGUCAACCUGGGAUGUUUCACUCUGAUAAUGAGAUUACGUUAUGAAUUAAUACUCUGAGUUAUGUUAAGAAUUAUGUUAUGUUUUGACAAUCAUAGUUUAAGUAAUGUUAUUUAAACGAAAUUUUUAGACUGCGUUUUUAGGUUAUUACAACAUCAAAAAUACUAGUUGUGACAUCAUCCCCCGUUAGAGGGAAUCUCGUCUCGAAAUUCUUUUUAAAGCUAGAUUCGAGAAUGCGAGAAUAGGUGAGGGUACUUCUGCUUCAUCUGUUCUUCGUGUUCCCAUGUGAAUUCUGUCCCACGCUUUGCGUUCCACUGUACUUUCACAAUCAGAAUGCGACUUUGCUUAGUACGCUUCACCUCCCUGUGCAUGAUUUCGACUGGUUCCUCGAUGAACAGGAGAUUCGAGUUGAUUUCAAUUUCUUCAAGUGGAAUGACGAGGGUUUCGUCGGAUAAACACUUUUUCAGAUUGGAAACAUGGAACACGGGGUGUACACUGCUGAGCUCGACAGGUAGCUGUAGUCUAUAAGCCACUGGACCGAUUCGGGCAAGAAUCUCGAAGGGUCCAAUGUAUCGUGGGUUUAGUUUUCCCCGUUUUCCAAAACGAAUAACCCCUUUCCAGGGAGAGACCUUUAACAACACCCGAUACACGAAUUGAAAUUCCAAGGGCUUUUGUCGUUUAUCAGCGUAGCUCUUCUGCCGGUCUCGUGAUGCUUGUAGUCAAGUUCUGAUUUGAAUUAUCUUCUCCGUUGUUUCGCGUAUGAUCUCCGGUCCCGCUAAUGCAUUACUUGAUGUCUGUCUCCCUGCUAGUUGAGUAUCACCUACCUCAGCCCAACACAACGGUGAUCUUCAUUUACGCUCGUAUAAUGCUUCGAAAGGGGCAACUUUGAUGCUUGAGUGAUAACUGUUGUUGUACGAGAAUUCGAUUAACGGCAAGUGGGAAUCCCACGACUUUCCAAAGUCUAUCACACACGCACGAAGCAUAUCUUCAAGCGUUUGGAUGGUUCGCUCGCUUUGACCAUCCGUUUGUGGGUGAUAAGUAGUGCUCAUGUCGAGAUGUGUUCCCAGGGCUUUUUGAAGUGAUUGCCAAAAACGUGAAGUGAAUCUACUAUCUCUAUCUGAGAUGAUAGAUACUGGCACUCCGUGGAGUCUCACGAUUUGCUUGAUGUAGGUUUUUGUCAAACGUUCCAUUUUGUAUGACUCUUUGAUUGGCAGAAAAUGAGCGGAUUUUGUCAACAUGUCAACUAUUACCCAUAUGGUAUCCAAACCGUCUGUUGUCUUGGGUAGUUUGGUCACAAAGUCCAUAGCAAUCCUUUCCCAUUUCCACUCGGGAAUUACUGGUUGAUGUAGCAAUCCUGAGGGCUUCUGAUAUUCCACCUUUACCUUAGCACACGUGAGGCAUUUGCUAACAUAGGUGGCAAUCUCUGCCUUCAUGUUGGGCCACCAAUAAUGUUGCUUGAUGUCCAAGUACAUUUUAUCUGAACCCGGAUGGAUGGAGUACCGAAUCUUGUGGGCUUCAUUCAUGACUACUUCUCUGAAUCCUCCAAGUUUAGGGAUCCAAAUGCGGUUCAUGAAGUAAUAUGCUCUGUCUUCCUUCACUUCAAAAUUAUUUUCCAUUCCACGUAACGCUUCGCUUGUUUUGUUUUCUAUCUUCAUGGCAUCGGAUUGGGCCGAUCUGAUUUAUGAGGUCAGGUGGGAUUGAAUGGUUAUGGAGAGAGUCUUUACAUGACGAUUCAAGUAUUCUUUCUGACUCAAGGCAUCGACUACCACGUUAGCCUUGUCUGGGUGGUACUUGAUUUCACACUCAUAAUCGUUUAGUAGCUCUACCCAUCUUCGUUGCCUCAUGUUCAACUCUUUUUGAUUUAAGACGUGUUGCAGACUCUUGUGGUCUGUGAAAAUGGUGCACCUUGUACCAUAAAGGCAGUGCCUCCAAAUUUUCAAUGUGAAGACCACAACUCCCAAUUCUAGAUCAUGGGUUGUAUAAUUAACCUCAUGUGUCUUUAGUUGUCAGGAUGCAUAAGCUAUCACCUUCCCACGCUGCAUAAGUACACAACAUAAACCCUGAUUCGACGCAUCGUAGUAAACUAUGAAGUCCUCUGUUCCUUCUGGUAGUGAUAGUACCGGUGCACUGCAGAGUGCUUGCUUUAGAGUUCGGAAUGCAACUUCUUGCUUAUCUGUCCAUUCAAAGGGUACACCCUUUUUCUUAAGCAAGGUAAGUGGCUUGGCUGUCUUAGAGAAGUUCUGGAUGAACCUCCUGUAAUAGCCUGCGAGACCUAAAAAUUGACAAAUUUAUGUGGGUGUCGUUGGGAUCGCCCAUCCUUCAAUGGCUUUGACCUUAGAAGGAUCCACAUGUAUCCCUUCUUGAAUAACAACAUGACCCAAAACGUUCACACUACGGAGCCAAAACUCACACUUAGAGAGUUUUGCAUAUAGCUUUUCGGUUCGCAGGGUUUCCAGGAUAUGUCGGACAUGUUGGCCAUGCUCCUCUUUGCUUCGAGAGUAAACUAGAAUGUCGUUGAUGAAAACGAUGACAAAGUUGACGAGGAAUGGUCGGCAGAUUCGAUUCAUUAGGUCCAUGAAUGCGGCAGGGGCAUUCGUUAGACCGAAGGGCAUUACGACAAAUUCAUAAUGUCCAUAACGAGUUCAAAAAGUGGUUUUGGGGAUAUCCUCUUCCCGGACCUUGAGUUGAUGGUAUCUAGAUCACAGAUCUAUCUUGGAGAAACAACUUGCGCCUUGAAGUUGGUCAAAUAGAUCGUCGAUUCGCGGGAGUGGAUAGCGAUUUUUUACAGUGAGCUUAUUUAGUUCCCUGUAGUCAAUGCACAUCCUAAAGGAUCCAUCUUUCUUCUUAAUAAAGAGAACCGGAGCUCCCCAGGGUGAGAAACUGGGUCGGAUGAAUCCUUUGUUCAAAAGCUCACUGAGUUGGCUGGACAAUUCUUGCAUCUCCGCAAGAGCCAACCUAUAGGGUGACUUGGUUAUGGGUGUAGCUUCUGGCACAAGGUCAAAUCGAAACUCGACUCCUUUUUCUGGGGGUAUCCCCAAAAGAUCUUCGGGAAAGACAUCCGGGAAUUCGCAAGCUACUAGAAUGUCUCGAAUGUUGACCUCUUCCUUGGACUUAUCCACUAUAUGAGCCAGAAACGUCAAGUCUCUCUUUCGUAGAUACUUUUGUGCCUUAAUGCACGAGAUAAGACGAAGGUUCAUGCUGGGUUUGUCUCCGUAUAUAAUUAGGGUUUCGUGAUUUGGAAGGUGAAGGUGAAUGGCCUUCUAGUGACACAUAAUUUCAGCAUGGUGGGGGCUUAACCAAUCCAUGCCAACAAUCACAUCAAAACUCCUAAUGGAAACAGGCAUUAAGUUUAUUUGAAAGGCAUGUUGGUCCAAGGUUAGGGUAUAUCCGAUAUAGAUUUCCCUAGUGGAUUAUGUGUUCCCAUUGGCCAUUUCCACCGUAAAGGUUUCAUUAAGCUUCUGGGGUUGUUGUUUUAGCAAGUGUUUAAAUCUAUUGCUCACAAAGCUUCGUUCUGUUCUGGUGUCAAAUAGGAUGCAUGCAUAAGUGUGGUUUAGGAGAAACAUACCAGUGACAACGGUGAGGUCCUGAACCGCUUCUCCCUGACCCAUUGUCAACACUCUUCAUGUUCCUCCAUUCCCAAGGUUGUUGCUGUUAGGGCAGUUUCGACGGAAAUGCCCAGUAUUUCCACAUCCAUAGCAGGUGUGGCUUGGUCCCGCAUUGUUGUCGCUAUUCUUGGUGUUGUGGUUGUUGUUGUUGCAGUUGUUGCUGUUGUUGUUUCCUUGCUGCUAAUUCUAGGGAGGAUAGGUCCUGAAAUAUUUUUCCGUGUGACCCUUGUGAUUGCAACUAGUGCAAUGCAUCUCCAUGCACUCGCCAUUAUGAUGAAGACUGCACUUGUUGCACUUUGGGAGAUUUCCGGAAUACUGCGUAGGAGCACUUGGAGUAGCUGAGACUGGCGCAUGUGGUGCGGAGGGAACUUGGGUGGUUGUAACAUUAACUAUCACUGUUUGUUGCUUCUUUGAUGACUCCGAGCCUUGUCGUCCCUUCCUUUUGUUAUUCUUCCCUUUCUUGUUGUCACUCUCCUUCUUGUUUUCGGUUUCUCCUGACUUCUCGCCCUUUUUGUUGUUAUGGUCGUACAGCUUCUUGGCCAAUCUCUUGGAACUGUCGAAGGUUUCAAGAUUUGCAGCUAUCACAUUUCUUUCCCUCCGAAGUAAUCAUGCCAAGGCACAACAGAGACAGUUCGCUAAACCUUGAUAUGUAUGCGUCGAUAUCAGAGUUUCAGACAGUAAGGUUCCACAACUCUUGCUCCAUCUUCUGAAUUUCGCCUCCCGGGUAGUACUCGGCCAUCAGCAUUUCCUUCAACUCCGCCCAGGGCAUGGGGUUGGCUACGGGGAGAGUCAUGGCUUCUACAUGUCCGUUCCACCAGGUGAGAGCUUGAUCAACAAACAUGCAUGUGGCAAACCUCACCUUCAUCUCCUCAGGGCACUCGCAUAUCUCGAACACCGAUUCCACCUUCUCAAUCCAUCUUUUUAGGGUUAUCAUUCCCCCGGUUCCAUUAAAGGUUCGUGGCUUGGCAUUGGUGAAAUCUUUAUAGGAGUAUGUCUUGGUAGGUCCUUGAUUUAUUCCGUUGUUCGAACUUCCAGCCCCUUGUCCAUUGCCUCCUCCAAUGUUCCCUUGGUGAAUUUGUGUCAUGGAUGUGGUGACCGCAGCAGAUACAGCUGCCUGGAAUGCAGCUGAGUUGUCUUCGGGUGGGGUUGGCCUAUGGUUUUCGCGGGUUGGUCGUUGAGGCAUCUUUAUGUCACGAAAUGGAAAGAUGUUGAGUGCCUAAGUUUUGUGGGUUCGUGGACUUAUGACUAGGUUUAUAUUAUGUAUCUUUGUAGUUUCGCAUAUCAACAUAUAAUAGUAGAAGCAUAGCACAGAACAGAUAACAACAUCACAACAGAACACAUAUAUUUUCCAUUAAUAAUAUCCAUACUUUGAUACAAUGAAAAUUUUCUCGAGAGAGCAUACAUAUAGGAUAUAAGUUCGGCAACAUAACGACUCUACGAGUAGUGUAAUCACUUAAACAUAGAGUCGGUGGUACAUAGCAUAGAUCAUCGUAACAUAAUAGUAAAGACGGAUACGACUAGUCCUAGUCAUGGUGGGAUGUGCCAGGGGGUGGUGUCGAGGAAGUGGACGCUCCCUGAAGGCGAGCCACCUGUCGUUCUGCAUCUCGGAGUCGAGCCUCCCACCUCACCUGCCUCAUGUGGAACUCUCGGAUAACCUCUCGGGUUUCUUAUUCUGCACGCUCAACUCUAGUCCGCAUCUGGUGCAUCUGGUUGGCGGUGCUCUGGGCUACUCAUGGUGCGGCCCAUCCGAUAAGCGGGCACCCUAAUUGGGUAAGGGGGUUGAUGACUUCGGACUCCACGUCCGAAUCACCGUCUUCGUCAUCGCUGGGUUCCUCCUUGAGGUCUUCUUCGACUUCCUCCUCUUCCAGUUCCACCACUGGCUCAGUAGGUCUGCCCUCAACUUCUGCCUCGGGUCCCCUUCAGAUUCCUCCUCGGGGUCUUCUACAGGUUCCUCUUCAGACUCCUCCAACCACCCAUUAUUCCCCUGAUUAUGGAAAUAUGGAUCUCUGGGGUGAUGGAAGCCGGCCAUGCUGUCUGCGAGAGUGUAUAAAUAUGCUAAUAUUAUUCCUAAGAUGUUUUUAAUUAUUGUAUAAAUUGAGUUGAUGUUCUCUUCUUGGUAAUAAAGGGGUACGUUUUUAGGUUUACCGACCUUCACGAUUUCCUCGGGGCAUGUGAUAGUUGUACCUUGGAGGAAAUGUAGUUGAUCAGGCUACAUUCACCCCUUAAUACUACUAUGAACAAUCCCGACUUAACCGAGAUGCCAACAUCAUCUUAUUUGAUUUGGUAUUAUGUUAUUUUUCCUAUAUCGUACAAGUAGGGGUAUUUUAUCAUUGUGUUUUAUUCGUUUUGUUCAGAGUUGUUUUUUUUGGUCCCUUCUUUGGUUUAUAGUUGCAUAUCACUGUGUAGUUAGAUAUGCUAAUUCACUAUAAACAGUGCUCUGAUACCAACCUGUCACACCCCCGAACCAGACGGCAGAAACGUCCGAGGGCUCGUGUGACUUAAAUUGAAUAUCAGCAUAAUGAAUAUACAUGAAUUAUAAGAUAAACAUCACCAUGCAUCAAUAUAUUAUAAUUGACAUUGUUCACAUCAAGUACAUUGUUUUAACAUUAAAAAUCCAUAACAUAAAUUGGUUGAUAGUUUUCAAAAGCACAACACCCUAACAUACUUGGUAUUACUCCUCAGCUUACCUGUUACUUGAGAAUACAAGUUAUUUUGAAAAACGGUCAACAUAUGGAAUGUUAGUGAGUUCAUAACCAAGGUUGUUACGAAAAUGUUUCGUGUAGUUUUUAUAACCCAGAAAAUCCGAUAUUUUCUGAAAAAAAAAACAAUUGUUUAUACCAAAGUGUGGAGAUCCAUAGGUUUAUGUAUGAAUGAUUUAAAAGCGUGCAUGGAUAAAAAGUUUUGCAUUAUAGUUACUGAAAAGUACAAAUGAAUGAUGCUGAUCUCCUCGAAAAAACUGAUGUUUUCCGAUAAUGAAAAAAAUAUAUAAUCGUUUCAAAUUGUUAUUUCGUCACGACGAAUGAUUUUGGAUUUUCCCCGAUUACUCGGAUAGAGUUAGAUUUUUUUAAUUGUGAGUUGUUAUAACCAUACAUGAUAAUGACUAGUUCGUCUGUCUUGGCAUUCUAACAAACAUCGGAAUUCAUCUUAAGAUUUUGUCACCCUAGACUAGCCGAGUCUAACUAUAGCAAACAGCUGAGGUGUGGAGGACUCACCCCCGUAUAGAUCUAUACACAAACUCUCGCUCUCCCUCCAGGAGACUUUGAUUAUAACUACACACUAUAGACGACCCAUAGAGGUGUCGCCCGCUAUUUCUCACUAAAUCUCACAUGAAUUUGAUUACUAUUGAUUAACGACUUGUAUAUAUUUAUUGAAUUGAAGGUAGGCCUAAUAAACGGGGAGAAGAGGAUUACAAGGUCCUAUUAAUCCCCCGAAUUAUUUGUGGCUAUUGGGUAUACGAAGGACACGUUGGCCCAUUUCACAUUUGAUUUACGUGGACCUUACUAGCAAUGCUAACGGGCCACUAAGGCCCAAUAGCACUUAAAAUCCAUUGAGGGUCCCUUAAAUAAGAAAUUGGGUCAUAGAAGGCCCAAUAACUUUUAUUAUUAUCCCUUGGGCCCAAAAAUCAUGUUAAUGGGUCACAAAGGCCCAACAAGCAUCAUUGGAACUUUCAAGCCCAAAUAUUUGAAUAUUUACUUGUUUUAGGUAUAGUUUAAUUGUUGGAAAGUUUGAUUGGGUGAUUGUUAAUUUCGCACCGGAACAAUGCCGGUCGGUUAUUUUUAACGAUGUUUGGAAUAAAAUAAUUGUAGUUUGGUAUUUUUAUUUUAACUCAAAUAUCUUAAAAAUAAAAUAAUUGACUUAAAAUCUUGGUUUGAACCCCUUUCAGCCCUUCUUUGGUAAAAUUGACAAUUUUAGUCCUUUAUACAAAAAAAGAGACAUUUUAAGCCCUUAAAACAUUUUCUUGACACUUUCGACCCAAAGACUUGUUCAAGUGAUAUUUUUAGCUCAAAACUUAUUCUUUGGUAGUUUCAGCCCUUCAAGAAAAGUAUUUUUCGGUUAAAGCCCAAACGUUUUGCAACUUUUACAAUUUUGGCCCAAAAUCCAAAAAGUUUACAAUUUUGAUCCUUAUUUGGAAAUUACAUCAUUUUAACCACUGAAUUUGUUUUAUUCAUCCUUUUAACCCCUGUUUUGAGAAGUUUCUCACUUCAACCCCUUGAGGUUGUAAUUUUCGCAAGUUUUGGCUCAUUGGGCCGUAAAGCCCAAAAUUUGGCCCAUUAAGCUACAAAUUACAUUUCUAGCCCUUAAAAGAGUAUGAUAUUCAUAAAACAUUCCUUUUUACUGUUUUGACUCUUUUAGUCCUUAAGAAAACCAUGAAUGACAAUCUUUUCCUAAACCUUUGCUUAUUUGACAAAAAUAACCGAAUAACGAGUCUUAUGUUGUAACUUGUUUGUUUUAACCCUUAUAUGGUAAAUUUUCUUAACUAGUUAUGUGUAAUGCAUCCUAGAUCACAUAUUUUUCCCUCAUGAACUAUGGAUCUCGAAAUAUCUUUCAUUUUUGGCACAUAUUUACCACAUAUACAUAAGAAAUCACUCAUAACAUACAAAUACACAUAGAUCUACACAUUUUACUUGUAUUCUCCCCCAUAAAACAUAUGAAAACCGAAAAUAGAGGGGUAUGAACUCACCUUGAGGUUUGAAUUUGGUUUUUGAUGAAGAUUUGAGAGAAGAAUUCGGCCUAACAAGCUUCUUUAGAAGUCCUUGAGCUUAGAUUGCUUCUAAGAAGUAUGAUCAUGAAGUUGAAUGAAUUAAAAGAUGAUUUUUGACGAGGUAUAGAAGUUAAACUUUUGAUUUAAGUAAGAACUUACCAAAUAUUUGUAACUUGAAAUGAUUUUUGAAUGAAAAACUCCUUGGAAUGCUUCUAAUUCUCGAAAAUUUGGAUGAAAAGAAGGAGGGUGUUCUUAUGUGUUUGAGAGAGAUUUUUGAGAGUGUGUGGAUGUGUCUUGAGUUGGUUUCGGCCGAGAGUAGGGGAAAGAGGAAGAAAAAGAGGGAUUUUGCAUAGAUACAUGUGAUUACAUUGUUGUAUGUUGUAUACUAAGCUUGGUUGUCCCCUAAACAAAGGUGAGGUGUCAUCUUCCCCUUGAUUCCUCCACUAAUCACUUUUUUUUUUACUUUGGAUCAAGAGUGAGAGAGAGAGAAGAAGUGUUUUGGACCUUUUGUGCUUAAUUUCUAUAGUAUGAGGCCCAAUUUGAUGGUUUUCGGCCCAAUUGCUCCUUGGAGGUGAUUCAUGGCCCAAAUCUAGCAUAAAGGAAUGGAUUUGAGUCCAUUAAAGCUAAUUGGAUUUGUUGCGGCCCAAUAAGGCCCAUUAAAGAUUAACUAGUCCAUUUUAGAUCUAUUAUGGCCCAAAAUGUUAAGUUUCAUGAAAGCGGGUCCAUUUAGAGCCCAUAUAAGAGUUCUAAUCCCAGAAUAGUUAAAUAAGAAACAUAUUGGCCCAUUAGGCCCAAUAAGGAAGUCCUAGUCCAUAAUGGACUUAAAGCGGGAUUUCUAGGAUUUCCAAUUCUUUAUUGACAAUUUGAAGUGCUUGUAUAGAGUGUUUGAUGGAAGUUUUGUUGUUAUUGAAUAAGCAUCAUACAUGCUUUCACAUUUUUGUUUCACAAAUGUUACCAUUGUUGUUGUUACAAAGCAUCAAAAUUCCUAGUUGUGACAAGUAUGACGGAGUCAAGAGGAAUGGAUGCAAGUAUAAGGAUUUUCUGACUUGCAAGCCAUCGACUUUCACUGGGAAGGAAGAUCCGAUCAGAGUCAUGGAUUGGAUCUCGGAGAUGGAGUUAGCUUUCAUGACGUGUGGUUGUAGAGGCAAGUUACAGACCACCUUUGCAGUACGUUAAUUCCGAGGAAGUGUUGUGCGUUGGUGGAAUUCAAACGCAAGUACUGCUCAACCCAAAACCUGAUUGAGCUAGAGAACCAGUUCCUUACCUUAAAGUAAGGAAGCAUGUCAAUUGAUGAAUACACCAACAACUUUACAGAGAAGAUGGAGUUUGCCUUGCGUCUUGUUCUGGAUGAGCUAACGAAAAUCGACAAGUACGCAAAGGGACUUCCAUGGGAGUACAUGGUGCCAGUGCGUCAAGCACCUACUCUGGAGGCAGCUAUCUGGGCUGCCAAGUCUGUGGAGGAUAUGAUUAAGGGAAGAGCUGCCAACAAGAUUGAGGUUGGCCAAAAGAGGAAGUUUGAGGGGUCUACGAGGCCCAAUAAGAAGAUCAAGUCUGGUUCAAAAGAGUUUAGCGGAGGAGGAAACAAAGUGAAAUGGUGCAAGAAGUGCAAGAAGAAACACUUCGGGAAAUGUAGCGAUGAAGUGACUUGCUGCAAGUGUGGGAAGACCGGACAAUACGCUAACGAGUGCACCGUCAGCAAAAGGGUGUGUUAUGAAUGUCGUGAAGAAGGGCAUGUUGCUAAGGAUUGCCCGAAGAAGAAAGAGGUGGCAAGACCAAACAUUCCAUCGAAACCGAAGGAAAGAGCAUUCCAUAUGAUCCUUGAUGAAGAAGAUGGAAAUGAAAGGGAUCAGGAAUGAGGAUCUAAGAAGUAGUAGUGUAAAUAGUACCACAUGGUGUAGCCUAUUAGAGGCAUAGUAUAGGUUGAACUUGAACACCUAUGUAAUCAUUUCAAGGAAUAAUAUAAAACCUUCGUUCUGUUAUCUAAUGUGUCAAGUUGUUAUGUCAUUUCCUUGUAUGGUGACUUGGGUGAACUGCGAGACAAUACUUGGGACGAGUAUGAGUAGGUGUGAAAGGUAGCAGAGGCCUAUACUACCGAAAGCACAGGACUCACGCUUGGAUCAGGGAAAGUCACAAGUUUACCAAGAAGCUAGUAAUUGAUACCGUUUUAUUCAAAUAUGUCGUUACCAUCAUUCCGGUAAUUACUAAGAGGAUGAUUGUUAUUCCGACCCUAGUGGUCUUAUCGAAUUGAGUCCGACUACGAUAAGUAUGUUAUGUGGUUCAGAGAACCAAGUUUGAUGUAUUAUUUUACUUAAGCCGGAAGAUUGAAAUAAAAGAUAAUCAAAGCGAUCAGUAGAGUUAUCGCGAUAGUUGCUUGUAGCUAAAAAUUCUACCUUUAAAGAUGUGAUUAGAACAUGAAGAAUAUAUAGUCUGUUUUGGAAGACUCUAAGAGACCUGAGUCUAAGCGUGGGAACAUACAAUGAUAAGUCAUUAGAAUAUGGCACAUCGGUCCAUUGUAGUAAUAAAAUAACUUACCUUAAGUUUGUUAAGAAGAAGAAGUAGUCUCCAGUAAGGAUCGAGAUUGUGACUUGAAGUUCAUAAUUUGGAGUCUAAUGUGAGAUAGGGAGCAAGUGCAAGAUCGAGCACCGCCUGCAAUCAGGAAGUCUUAGAGUUAAAUACUCGCUCGAAGAAACAUAAAUGUUACGGUUAUUACUUAGGAUGAAGAGAUAACGUAUGGAGUCAUCAUGUGAGCCUUGUUUCAUUGAUGAUUCUCGUUGAUGAUUCUUGGACGUAAUCAUCCUAAGUUGGAGAUAAUUGUAACGCCCGUAGAUCCGGGCUAGUCAAUUUAGAGAUAAUAGGGGUCGAAAAUGACUUUUUGACAAAAGAUUAUUUAGAAUAAAUAAUCUUAACCAAGUUGUAGAAUACGUCUCAAGGGUUCCGUACAUGUAAAGAACGCCGAAAUCCGAGUUAGAACGAAAAAGUUAUGGUCCGUCGAAGUUUUACGGCAAAACCGACUCGACACCGGGAGACGUAAAUAAUAAUUUUAUGAUGGAGUAAUUUUUAGCUAUAGAAAUCUAAACAAAAGUUGUAGUAUACGUUAAAUCGAGAACAUACAAAAAAAGAACGCUCAAAUCUGACUUCGUAUGAGGAAGUUAUGAAUUUUCUAAGAUUUGGCUUAAAAAUGCACAGCCCGAAACUCGAAUUUUAGGUCAAGCGGUUUUUGGCCUACGCGACCUAAAUGAGAAUUCAAUAUCUCAUUAAUAGGAACCCAACGGUAAAAAGACAGACGGAAACAGAGUCUGUAUGUAAAAGUUAUGAAUUUUAUGCGAACAUUUAAUAGUAUAAUCUCCUCGUACUAGUAAAUUUAAGAUCUGUCGAAAAUUAGCAGACAGAGUCAAAAGCAAAGUUGUAGAUCUUAUUUUUACCUACGUGUGGAUAUAAAGAACAUCAAAAACGUAGCUCGUAUGUGAAAGUUACGGAUUUUAGAAGUCGGAAGUGUGUUCUGCGAAAAUGGGUGACGUGACACAAUCUUCGCCAUUGCUUUCUCCCCAAGUCUUGCCACCAGAUGGUGACAUGUGGCACCAAGUUUAGCCAUAUUUCACCCUAUAAAUAAAACCUCUCCCACCCUCAUUUUCUUCACACCUUUCCCAUUCUUUCUUCUCUUUUCUCUCUCUAGAACCUCUCUCCAGCCCCGAAACCCCCGAAAAGCCUAGGGAACCUCCCUAGCACGAGGCGGAAGCCCCAGAGUGCUCGAUGGCUCCGAGAAGAACAACUUUUCGGCUAGGAAAUGCUGCUCCAAGCAAAGCCCGUUUUUCUAUAAAAUCCGCUGUAAGUGAGCUACGCCUACGCUAUUUUUAAUAUAGCUUUUAUUUAACUAUAACAACGUUAUUAGGAACUUAUAAUAAAUAAUUGGGCAAUUAUUAUGAGUUAUAUAAGUAUUGUUUAACGUGUAUAUAAUAGUAAUAAUAUUUAUACUAUUAAUUAGUCUCAACGAAUAAUAGACUAAAUUCCAGUGGUAAUAAUACUAGGUUUCGUCGAAGGAAAUUAUUUUUAUGAAGCGAAGCGCUGUCUGAGUUCGGAACCACCACAUUUUCAAGUGAGUGCAUGGUCACUUUCAUCUUACGCAUAGAUAUGAAGUAUUUAAUAUACAUUACAUGUUAUGUGUGCAUAUUGUGUGAAUACUUGUUGUUUAUGCUGGUUGAAAUAUUUUUAUACGUGUUUUAAGUGAUUUAAACUAUAUAUGUAUUUUAUAUCUACAAAAUGUGUUGGGUAAAACAUGGGUAGAUGUAAUAGUUACUGUGUGACCAAAUAAAAUAAUGAUAGGCCUCGAUAUAGAUGUUAUUGAUGAUCCAGUCAUCUAGCGGAGUAUAGAUGACGACCACGGACUAUUCUAGACAGUCCGGUGGAACGCUAGCAGGUGUGCAACCAGUAGGUGUUUAUUUGGACUGUGUGCUCACCAGUAGUACUCCAUCCCCCACAUGGUUGCCUUAUUUGACAUGAAUUGCUGAGGAACCCCCGAAGCAUGUGUUGUCACCCCGAUGGAAGUCCUUAGACUAGGUCCCUUGUGUUAGAUGUUUUAGGGAUGUAAAGUGAGGAUAACGGGAACGGGUAAUCGAGUUUGUUUUGUUUGAUAAAGUUAAUAAACUUAUUUAUUGUGGGUUGAAAAACCUAUGUACUCACCAGGUUUCCCAACCUGACCCACUCAAUUUAUUUAUAUCACAGGUGUUGAUAUGACGUCACAUUACACUGAGAGAUUAAGGAGAUAUAAAUCACUAGUGAUAGUGAAUGUAAGUUUUGUUUAUGCUUAUGUUUCUGUAUUGACGAUGACAUCCCAAAUGUUUUAAAAUGAAUAAAAAUACUUUUCUUUGGAAACGAUUUGAUAACGUAUUUAUCAUGUUUUACUGGGAACAAAUUCCGCAACAUUUUUAUUAAAAGAGGUACUCCGAUUUUUAUAAAGCAUAAACAAAAUCGGUCUUUUUUGGCCGUGAAAAUGGGAUGUCACAUGAGACUUCCAACAACACUAGAGUAUGGAACCCUACUCAUGUACUUCCUUUCUUCAUUAGUAGUGGGUAUAGUACUUUAACCAAGUUUAAAGUGAGACACCAAAGGAGUUCCAACUGGCUUGGACUGAUCAUAGUUGAAGGAUUGCAGAACUUUCUCAAUGUACUUCUGUUGCGAAAUACACAACCUCCCUGCUUUUCUAUCCCUUUGUAUCUCCAUCCCCAGUAUCUUCUUUGCUGCUUCCAAAUCCUUCAUCUCAAUUUUAUUCUCUAGGGUUGCCUUCAAGUAAUUUAUUCCAACCAUGUAUUUGGCUGCAAUAAGCAUAUCAUUAACAUACAACAACAUAUAUAUGUAGGGAUGUGGUGAGAAUUCCUUUGAUUAAACAGAAUUGUAGAACUGGUUCCGAGUGUAACCAUUCGAGAUCAUGAAUGAAUCAAAUCUCUUAUACCAUUGUCAUGGAGACUGCUUCAAACCAUAUAGGGAUUUCUUCAGCAAACAUACAUGGUCCUUCUUAGCAUCAACGAACCCUUCUGGCUGGGACAUACAAAUCUUCUCUUCUGAAUUUCCAUGAAGAAAUGCAAUUUUCACAUCAAGUUGUUCAAGCUCCAGAUCAAAUGCUCUCACCAUGGCCAAAAGAACCCGAAUUGUCUUGUGCUUCACAACCGGUGGGAACACCUCAUGAUAAUCAAUUCCUUCUUUUUAAGAGAACACUUUUACCACCAACCUUGCCUUCAACCUAGCAGGUUCAACUCCUGGUAUCCCUUCCUUCUUCUUAAAGAUCCACUUGCAUCCCACCGACUUUGCUCCCUUUGGUAAUGGAACAAGAUCCCAUGUCUCAUUCUUUUCUAAAGAUUGCAUUUCUUCAUUCAUGGCCAUCAACCAGUCUUUCGCUGCUUUACUCGCCACAGACUCUUUAUCCGAUUGAGGCUCCUCGGUGUCAAUGUAUUCUCCAUUUUCUAAGGCAAAAGCAAUGGAGUCAAGUUCACCUUAAUUCACACAUCCCACAUAUCUGUCAGAUUGUCGAAUAACCCUCUUCGAUCUUCUCUUUGCUAUAGAUUCAGACCCAUCAUCUUUCCCGGCUUCAACACCACUAGACGAAGAUCCCAUGUGUUGCUCUUGGGUUUCAUCUUGUCCAGGUUGUUCACUGCCGCCUUUGCUCAUUGUCACUUAUUCCAACUCUGUCUGGAGUUUGAGAUGCAAAAUCCAUCUUUUGGUUAGCACCCUGAUCUUUGUUCCCUGCUUGACUUGUUUCACCUCCUCCUUCGUUCCCCAUGGCAGAGUCAUCAAAGGUCACAUCUCUGCUCAUGAUAAAUUUAGGAGUUCUUCUUUCUUCUGUACACUACAGUUGAUAACCUUUUUCUCAUGUCGCAUAUCCUAGAAAUACGCACUUCAUUUCCCUUGGCUCAAGUUUACCAUCGUUCCCAUGAGCAUAUGCGGGGCGUCCAAAUAUGGGUAAACCAUAAUAGUUAGAGGGUUUCCUGGACCAUACCUCUUGAGGAGUCUUCAAGUAUAUUGCAGUUGAUGGUGAUCUGCUCACCAGAUAACAUGUAGUGUUAACUGCUUCUGCCCCGAAUUGCUUGGAUAAGUUAGCAAAUAUCCGCAUGUACCUUUCACGUUGCAUAAGUGUUUGGUUCAUACGUUCGACCACUCAAUUUUGAUGUGGUGUGUGUCAUACAGUGUGGUGCCUCACAAUACCUUCUACCUGGCAUAAAUUAUCAAAUGGAGCAUUGCAGAACUCCAACCCAUUGUAUGUUCUCAGAUUUUUGACCUGUUUUCCAGUCCUUUUCUCAACCAUGGUUUUCCACUUCUUGAACUUCCCAAACACCUCAUCCUUCGUCUUCAUAAAGUGCAACCAAAACUUCCUAGAAUACUCAUCAAUGAACGUUACGAAGUAUGAACAUCCUCUUUGAGACUUCACUGGUGUAGGACCCCACAGAUCUGAGUGAACAUACUCCAUGAUUUCCUUGCUUGUGUGUUGACCGGUAUCGAACUUCACUUUGCGAUGCUUUCCCUUGAUGCGAGAUUCACGAAACUUUAUCUUUCCAGUAGCCUCUCCACCAAGCAGUCCUUGUUUACUUAGAACUAACAUGCCCUUGUCACUCAUGUUCCCCAACCUACGAUUCCACAACUCUGUCUUGUCAUCACCUUCAUUCAAGGAUUCGUAGAUAGCCACUGUUACCAUAAACUUACUGCCUUAUAGGAUAUAGAUCCCUCCACGAUUCAUCUUCCCUUUCAUUAUAACCAAAGAGCCUUUGGUCACUUUGACCCAGUCACCUUCACCAGUGUGCCUCAUCCCAUUUUUAGCAAAUGUGCCAAGAGAAAAUAGAUUCUUCUAAAGUUCUGGAACUUACCUGCAAUCUAACUUCUUGACCAUGCCAUAAUGCAUCUUGAUCUGCACCGUGCCACUACCUUUAAUACUUCUCACCCAAUCAUCACCCAUCUUGACUAUGCCAUCCUAUUCUUUGAAGGAGUCGAACCAGUCACGAUUAUACGUCAUGUGAUACGAUACUCUAGAAUCCAAGACCCAAGCAUCAGCAAAACUUUAUAUACACACAAUCAAUACAUCACCAUUGUCCCCUUCAUCAAAAUUUUCUUGAACCAUAGCAACAAUGUUAUUGCUGCUUGAUUCCUUCUUGGACUUCCCAUUCCUCAGUUGUGGAUAAUUUCACUUGAAGUGCCCGUUCUCCUUACAGUUAUAACAUUUCAUGUUUGAUGAACCUUUAGACUUUGAUUUUGAACAUGAUCUCUCUCUGUUUCCCCUUUUCCUCUCUUCUGUCCUCCAUCUCCCUACAAACAAACUGGAACUGAACACCUCCUUUCUACCUGAAACUUUUCUUUGCAGUUCCUUGGACAUCAGAGAGUCCGUUACAUCAUUCAAAGUGAUCGUUGUCCUACCAUAAAGCAUGGUAUCAACGAAAUUCUCGUAUGAGUUAGGAAGAAAACCUAAGAGAAUGAGCGUCUGAUCUUCAUAUUCAAGAUUCACAUCAACACCUUGUAGAUCCAAGAUGAUACGAUUGAAGAUAUCUAGAUGAUCUUUCACUUGGGUACUUUCAGACAUUCUGAGAGUGUACAACCUUUACUUCUAAUACAUCCUGUUCGUCAGUGAGUUGUUCUGGUACUUGUCACAAAGUUUAUCCCAGAGUCCAGAAGCAGUUUUUUGAUCAACAACCUCCCUUAGUACUUCAUCUGUCAAGCUCAAUAGAAUGGCACUAUGUGCCUUCGUCAUAAUAUCCACCUUCUUAUCAUCCGCCAUGCCCUUUGGUAGUUUUCUCUCGCCUUCUAGCGCCGCCGCACACCCUUGUUGAACCAGAAGAGUCCUCAUCUUCACCUACCAUAAUGUGAAUUCAUUUGAGCCAUUGAACUUUCUCGAAAUCGAACUGGUGAGUAGACAUCUUCAAUCACAGGAAUAUAAACAGCAACUUUGAUACCAUUUGUUAGGAAGUAAAGAGGAUAACUUGCAAAACUAAAAGUACACAAGACACAAUAUUUAUGUGGUUCGGUCAAGGAGAUCUACUUCCACGGGCAGGAGGGGAGUGUUCUUUAUUUUUGAGCUCUCAACACAGACGUUACAAGUACAAUUACACAGAGAUUCGACUAUCACUUUAGAAUUCAAGAUAGAAAAUGACCUAGCAUGCAUCCUUAUUUAUACUUGAAGGAUCAGACCUUAAACCCUAAUAGGCUAAGCCCAUUGGCCCAUAGGCCCAUGAAGGGUGUCAACCAAUCACAAUCCGCCAUGCAGCACCUUCUGGAACAUUUUUGAGCGUUAUCAUCUUCUAUGCAUACAUGGAUCAACAUGGCACAACAAAGGAAUCAAUAUGGCGCAUCACGUACCAAGAUGGUCCAUGAUGGCACAAUAGCUUCUUCAUGGAACAAAAACAAACCUAGUUGGUGCAACAAGGAUCUAAAUGGUGCAAGAGCAUCAAGUAUGGCGCACAACAUCAAUCUUGGAGCAACAACAUCAUCAUGAGCAACAAGCUUUUGCAUGGCUCAACAAGGCCAUGCAUGGCUCAACAAAAAAACAAGAUGGCGCAAGAGCAUCUGUCUUGACCCAUCGCUGUUGGAUUAGUGUCUAAGUCCAUAACUAUUUUUUGUAUGUACUUGACCCGAUGGUGCAUGGUCCUUUUGGGUUGCCUUCACCAAAGCAACUUGAUAGGAUGAAUUAUGGAGAGAAAGGAUUAAUUAUGAUUUAUUAAUAUAUUAUGAGAAUAAUAUAUUAAAGGAGAAAUCAUAUUGUUUAAUUAAUAUUAGUCAAGAAUUAAUAAGAAUUAAGUUUGUGGCUAAAAGAGAUUAAUUAAACUUAAGGGACUAGAACUGUCAAUUGUGGGAUAGUUGAAUAUUGAGCUAAUGGACUCCUUAUUAAAGGGGUGGACGAAUUCUAUGGGGAAACCCAUUAGAAAUCAUCCAAAGGCCUUUAUGAAAAGGGUUCAUGGGUUGCUUAGGGCCUAAGCAUCCAAAUUAGGGUUUCCUUGUUAGAUAACCCUAAUAGCCUCACUAUUUAAGGAACCCUUAAGCCCCAAAAACGUGGUGAACUAAUUGGUUAGGGUUUCCACACGUUUUGGGCAGCCUCCUUCUCUUCUCUUCUUCAUCCUCUUGCUCUUGGUGUUUGUGAGCCAUUAGAGGAGUGACAUUUGUGACUCUAAGCUUUCUAAAGUUAAUACAAGAAGGAAUUGAGAUUGUUAUUACUAUAUAACAAUCAAGGUAUGAUCUAAACCCUUAUUCAUAUGUUAUAUUGAUUAGAUCUAGGGUUUUAAGUCUUGGAUUAAAAGCAUGUACAAUAGAGAAACCUAGAUCCAAGCUUUAGGGUUUGCAUGAGCACAUAGGAUGUCUUUUGGCUAUAACCCAUCAGUGGUAUCAGAGCCUAGAUUGGUUUCUAUUGUAUUGAUGCAUAUUUGAUCGAAAUCAGCACUGAAAAUCGAAAUUUUUGGGUUCUGAGUGUUUGACUCGCCGAGUCACUUGGUGCACUCGCCGAGUCAGGUGUACUCGACGAGUCCAAGUCCAGACUCGACGAGUCGAAACGUCUGACAGCUAAUUUUCGCGAUUUUCUUCCUGUUUUGGGUUUGGAUAAUUACCUUAAACAUGUUUUUGUUAUAAAAUCCGAAUUUUAUCAAUAUUUGGUGAUUAUCCUUACCUGAAUAGAAGAUAAUUGUCAAAAUUCAGAUAAUCUUUUGUUUUAUUAGAUAAAAUUUGAUUAAGGUGUAUAAUUAAAAGAGGUUUAAUAACUCCAUAAAGUCUUGGUUUACAAUUUAAUUGAAUUAAUAGUAUAAUUGUUAAAUUUGACCACCUAGUAUUUUAAAAAGUGUAAAAUACACCCUAUACUAUAUAUAACAUUAAAAGUCUAACAUUAUAUAUAUGUAUGAGUAAAAGUCAGUCUUACCGUUAGUAGGCCUCAUUCACGAAGCUGGUCUAUAAGGGGUGUUUAAGGAAAUUGCCUAUAAAAUGGCGAUUGAAUGGGUAUCCACUCUUACCCACCGCACUCUUGACUAGUGGAGGGUCGUUAGCCGAACGGGUAGG
rnacentral:lncRNA from 1 species